rnacentral:lncRNA from 1 species
GUUUUUUUUUUCUUUUUUCUUUUAAGGUGAGUUUAUGGGAAGAUAUUAAAGAUCUAAAGCAUUAAUUAAAAAGGGAGGAAAUUAAGGAAAUUUCGUUUGAUAUUUGGUUGACUUUUAACAAAAUUCUAUGAAAAAAAUGACGUGUUUACAAAAGAGAGUUAGUUGAUUCGAAGACUGUCAGUUUAAUAAAGAUGUUCAUGACUUAAGUACACAAUUUAAUAAAGAUGUAAUAUUUUUGAGUUUUAGCAUAAUUGAACUUAUGAUCAAACCUUAUAAACAUUUCCAAUUAUCUCGAUCCAUCAAUAAUAGAAAUCGUCAAUUUUUCCUCGAUAUACAACCUCUUUUGAUGUCAAUCAAAGAACCGUUAGUAAGGGUAUUUGUUUUCAUGUGUUGUUCGGAAUAAGUACAAAAUACGUAGAACUUAUAAUAACUCAUUUGAUAAUUUUAUUAUGAAAAAACCAUUUGUAAUUAGACAUAUGUCAUAUGAUUUUCUAUGAUUUCUUAUCCCAGCUAUAUUUGGUCUACACAUAGAGAAUCAAAAAUUUCAAAAACUUAUAAUAUGAAAAUAUUGAAGAUGAGAAAGAAACCUAGUCAAUUUUUUUCUCCUAAAAGAUAGGAUAUAUAAAAUGAAACCAUGUGCCAUUGUCAAUCUAAUUUAGUCAAUACGAAAUAGUCAUUUAUAACGAUUGAUUAUAUAAGAAAUGAUAUUAAAAUUCACUGUAUUUUAGACCUUACCAAACACGUUUUAAAAAAAUAAAUCAAAUAUCCAUGAAAUACCAAUAGUUUCUGUAAAAGCACUCAUGAAAUACUCAUUCACUCUAAAAUUUAACAAUACUUGUUAGUUUGUUAAUAAUGUUUUAUUGUUUAAACAAAAAUUAUGAGAAAUUUUUUAUUUAAUAAUUCAAAGUAAAGAAAAAAGAUGCAUGCACAUUGCAUGAUAAGAAGAAGUACAUUUUCAAUAUCUAUCUGUUUUAUAAUACAAGUUAUUUGAGAAGAUUUGUUUGUUUUAAAAUAUACGAUAUUAGUUUAGCAAAAAAAAGAGAUAAGAUUCUCUCAAAUUUUUAUGCAAUUUUAUAUUUUUAUUGGAUAUUCUAUGAUCAAUUGUAUAAUAUUAUUUUUUUAAUGAUUGGUUGGAUUGUCGUUUUUAAUUUAUAUUUAAAUAAUAUUUUGUAAUGAAAAUUAAAUUGCUUAAUCUAUGUGUUUUUAGAUAAAAAUAAAGUAUUAUGAAACAAAAAGACUAUUUAGACAUACUUCUAUCGCAAUUAAUAAUCAUUUUAUUUUUUUCAAUUUUGCUAUAAAUAAAAAAUAUAUUAUACAAAAAAUUAAACGUUUUUACAUUGUGAAAUAAAGAUCCUAGAGUUUAUUUUUUCUGGAACUUAAUUGAUAUGAAUGUGAGACUUCCAUCCCUGAAUCCUUGAGGGGUUAUUAAUACUUUUUGGCUAUUUAAAAUAAAGUGAAAAUUCCUCAGACUAACCUUUAAGGUUAAUAUAUUGACAAACUUAGCCUAACAUAUUCAUCAGCUUACUAGACUAACCUUAGAAAGUUGGUGUUAUACCAUUUUGUCCAAAUAAUGAAUAUUUUUACCAGAUUGCCAUUCGAUUUUAAAAAAUCUUUAAAAAAACAUUUUACAAAAAAAAGAAAUCAUAAUCGUUUUAAUUACUUAUAAUCGAAAAUCGAAAAUACAAAAACAUAAAAAUAGAAACUGAAACCCUAAUCUCCUCCGGCGGCGACUGUAAAGGCGAUUUGGCGAUGAAGGAGACGAUUUCGGCGAUUUCGCGACGAAGGAGACGAUUUCGGCGGCGACGAAAGCUUUUUGGCCACUCAUCUCGUAAGUCUUGACGUCUGGGUUAGUUUCUCGUCGCGAACAAGUUUUGACUUCGGUUUUCACGACGGUUGUGUUUGGGUUUUACUCGCGACGGUUGUGUUUGGGUUUCAAUGGUGGUUUCGCGCUAACGUCAGAAGAGAACUCCAUCUUUUCGUUCGUAGUCGAAAACCCUUUACCCAGAAAUCGUAACCCUUUGCUUUUUUUUUUUCAGGGAAGUAUUAUCGGCGGGUUCCGUCUUUCGAGAACGGUUUAUACUGAGCCCAGACGAUUUCCGGCGACCAAUUUCUGUUUGUAGUGGUUCGGUUUUAAUUUCUUUUUGGUAGACUUUCAGCAGUUGGUUGCAGUUGUUCGAUUUGUAUAUGCUUAACGGUAGAUUUAUUCGUGUUUAACGGAGUUCUUUUCUAUGUGAGGUAGAUUUGUUUUCGUUUCAUUGUGUGGUAGUAUUGUUGGUAGAGUUAAUGUUGAUAUUGUAUUGGUAGAUUUAUGUAUUGUUGGUUUAUUUAUAUCAUGUGUGGUAGACUUGUGGUCGUAUGUGGUAGAGUUAUAUACUGUAGUUGCUCCCGGGUUUGGUAGAUUUUAUAUUAUAGUUGCUUUCUUGUUUGGUAGACAUGAUAAGUUUGGUAGACUUACGAAUUCUAUAUUUGCGUUCUCUCUGUGUGUGGUAGAUUUAUGUAUUUAUUUGGUAGAUUUGCGUUGUAUAUUUUCUUUUCUUUGGUAGAUUUGUGUUCGUUUUGGUAGAUUUGUUAAUGUUUUGUGGUAGGUAUUCUAUAGUUGUUGUCGAGUUUGGUAGACAUGUGUAAGUUCAUGGUAGAUUUGUUUUGAUGUGUGGUAGAUUUGUAAGAUUUUAAUCUUACCUAUUGUUUGCAGACAUGGCUUCAGCUAGCGGCUCAAAGGAUUAUCCCCAAAGAUUGUACCCGGAAGGCAAAUCUCCUUUGCUGAAGAAGAGUUGUCAUCAUAACUGCAAGCUUCAUGAGUUCAUCAUGAUGAUCAGGGAUCACCUUGGGGAUGAUAUUUACAACGACAUCAUGAAUAAUUCUCAAGUUGGCGUGCUACUGAAGUUUGCAUUGUCUUCGUUCAUAUGGAGUGCUAAGACAGUUCAGUAUUUUGUGAGCAACCAACUGAAGGUGGAUAGGAAUCAUGAGUUUUGGACUCUUAUUGGAGGUCGCCCGGUUAGAUUUUCACUCUUAGAGUAUGCUGAAAUCACGGGGCUAAACUGUGACCCAAUUGAUCCCAAUGACAAGGUGGAAAUAGAUCACACCGAAUUUUGGGCCGAGAUUGGAGUGAGAGGUGGGGAAGGCCCCAAUUGGAAUGAGUUAGAAGCUCGGAUGAAAACUUGCCAAGCAUGGACUUAUGAGAAGAAGAAGAUGUUGGCGUUGCUUUUCAUUUUGCAUGUUGGUGUAUUGGGACUUCACCGCAACAGUCGAAUCCCGUUGGCUUUAGCCAAAACAGUUAUGGAUGAAGCAGCUUUCGAGAGACAGCCGUGGGGUCGUUAUGGAUUCCAUGAACUAAUUUAUUCCCUCAAGAUUGCUAACUUGGGGGGAGCACGAUACACUCUCCACGGAUGUGUACAGGCAAUGCUUGUUUGGGGUUAUGAGUGCAUCCCUAUAUUGGCUGAGAGAGCAGGGAAAAUACGCCCCGAUGUAGAUGACUCGGUUGUUCCUCUUCUUAGGUGGACUUCAUCACGGUGUCGUAAUGUUUUCGAGACUCUUUUGGAGAUGGAUAAGAGUGAAACCGAGGAUCACAAGGUACUUGUACCUUAGCAGCUAUUGAGUUGGUAGAGUUUUUUGAUAAUAGCUUAGUGUUUGGUAGAGUUAUUUAUUAUACAACAAUUUGUGGUAGAGUUAUUAAAUGUGGUAGAAUAUAACAUUUGGUAGAGUUUUUACAAUUUGGUAGAGUUUUAACAUUUUGGUAGAGUUUUUACAUUUUGGUAGAGUUUGUACAGUUUCGUAGAGUUUUUACAUUUUGGUAGAGUUUUUGAUUCAGUUUGAUAGAUUUAUAAAUAUCAUGGUAGAUUUAUUAAUAUCAUUUUCUAUGGCAUGGCAGGUUCGGGUUAGACAUCUACUGGUGGUGAAGCCCUUGGAGGAAAUAUAUCCUGUCUGGGAAGGUGAACCCCGACGUGUAGACGUCGAUAUAAAGGUGCAUAACAUGAUAUGCGAUAUUCUGGAUGGAAGCUUGGAUGAGGGGUUCUGGGAAUCUCCCAAAAACGUAGGUGGCGAUGCAACAGGUGGCGCUUCAACAGUUCAGACGCCGAAACAGUCGAAGACGAAGUUGGAAACUCCACGCGUGGAGAAGAAAAAGAAAGAGAAGGUGAAAGAGGCUGAAGCAACAGAUUCAACUCCGAGAAGCAAAAGGAGAAGGGAAAGGAGAAGGGAAAGAGAGGCAAGGAAAGAAGAGAAGGAGAAAAAGAAACGUAAGAAGGAGGAUGAGGAAGAAGAUGAUGAUUUUAACUCGCCGGUGAAGCUACUAAAGGAUGCAAUUGAAGAAAAGAGAAAGAAAGGAAAGAAAAGAAAGAAAAGAAAAGAAAGAAAGGAGAAGGAAAGAGAGAAGGAAAGAGAGGAGCAGGAGAGAGAGAAGCAAAGAGAGAACGAGAGCAAGAAGAAAGAGCCCGCUGUGGAGAAGGAGGAUAGGACGAAUGAGAUCCUCAUGGCAAUCAAUGGUUUAUCAACGACGGUAGCAUUGCUAAACAACAAUGUCAGCAGUGCUGUAAUUCGUAUAGACCACCUGGAUAAGAGGAUUGCCGUUAUCGAGGAUAAACAUGAAGAGAAAGAGGAGGCCAUGGCGAAUUCUGGGAACAAGGUUGACAACGACCAUGGUAACAAUGAUGAUAAUGCCGGUGAUGCAGAAUCCAAAACCUCACCGAAAACCCCUAGAGCAAAGGCAUCUCCUCCAGCAGCAGCGCCAGUAGCAGGAACGUCAACGGGAGGUGGAGCAGGAACGGGAACGGGAGCUGUGGAAAAGGAUCCGGUACGCAAGUCUCUCUUCUAAUGUCAUGGAGACAACAUUCAACUAUGUUUAAACAGAUCGUUUUCCUUUCCUUUAUGGUAGAUUUGUACGAAAUACUUUUUUACUUUGGUAGACUUGUAUUGAUGGUUUUUUUAAAACUUUUCCUGCAUAGUAGACUUUUAAUGUUUUCUUGGAAUACAAGACUAACUUUAUGUGGUAGAUUUUUGGCAGUGAUAUUUAUAUUAGGUAGAUUUAUAAUUAAUUCGGUAGAUUUUUAGGUAGAUUUAGUUAUGUUAUUAUUUGGUUUGACUGAUGUGAAAUUACUAUACAUGCCAAGCAGUCGUGGAUGAUGGAGAGGGAGGAAACAUCAGAGCCAGGUUUUCCUGUUGCAAGAGUUGUUAGAACCCCAGCGUCGAGAGGAAAGACUGUAACCAAAGUGAAAAAAGAACCUGCUGAUCCUAAAGAGAAGAAUAAAUCAGGCACAAAGUCAAAAGCUGAUUUAAAAGACAAAAACGAAGAAAGCCAGAUAAUCAAUAUAAGCGACGUUUCACGCCCACUACAGUCUAGACGAGUACAGAUCCCUUCCCUGCAAGACGAAGACGACUCAGCGAUUGAAGCUAUGAAGAAACGCUUAGAAAAGCUGGUGGAACAUGCAAAAAAUCCACCUGCUGAGAAGGAAAAAAGGGGACGCAGCCUUGCACCGACCCAGGUUUCACCCUACCUUGGUAACUCAGUGGUGAGACGCAUCAUGGACCCAGCAGGUCCCCCUCCUAGGAGGUAUGAUCCUUUUGAAGCAGUGGACAGUCGAAUACUGGAUAAUCUAACCCGCUACAUAGCUUUUGAAGCGUAAGUCAGUUUUAAAUUUCCAUGGUAGACUUACUUGUUUGAUUUGGUAGACCUAUUUGUUUUAUAUAGUAGACUUAUUAGGUAUGUUGGUAGACUUACUUCGGAUUCUGGUAUGUCUAUGUCAUUUUUCAGGGAAAAACAGUUGGAGUGUCCAUAUGCAGGAGGAGAAUUUUACCUGACACUAAUGACCCCUAAAGAAAGCUGGCCGAGAAAGGAGUAUGGGUGGUUGCAUGAUCAGGUAUGUGGUCGUAUCAGUCACCCGAUCUUAGUUUCAAAAGGUUUGGUAGACUUUGGAAAUUGUUUGGUAGACUUUGGAAACUUAAUGAUAGAAUUACUUUGGUAGACUUGUAGUAACAAAUGGUAGAUUUAGUCAUUAUGUUUGGUAGACUUGUAUUCUAUUAUGUAGUAACAAAUGGUAGAUUUUGUCUGUAUGUUUGGUAGACUUGUAUCUUUUAUGUUUGGUAGACUUAUAUAAAUUUGGUUGUAAAGCUGGUUGGUAGACUUAUAUAAAUUUGUUUCAUUACCUAAUGCAGCAUAUGGUAAAAGGAUUAGACAUGUUCCGGCAACGGUCUAUGCGGUAUCCAUCUCCUUACAAAGGGGGAAGAGUUGCUUUCCUUGAUCCUAUCUUUUGUCGAGUUUGGUGUGGAGACUAUCGAAACAAAUUUCUACCAAACGAGAAGAGUUGGCUAUUCAGUGAUGGUUAUUUGGACGUUGCCAACGGUCACUACGACCAUUACUUGCCUACACACAAGAAAUGGGGGACAGAUGUUGAUUUCGUGUAUAUCGCCCACAACGUGAACAACGAACAUUGGGUAGCCGUUGAGGUCGACAUUCCCAAAAAAAAGAUCCGAGUGUUUGAUUGCAUUCCAGAUUUAUACAGAAAAGGCGAGGUGGAGGAGUCUGUGAAGCCCUACGCGAGGAUGAUUCCGCUGUUGUUGAAACAUAUGGCACCACCGAAGCUCAAGAAGGGUAUGAAGGAGGGGCAGUUUCAUAUCUACAUGUAUAAAACAGCGGCACUAAACAGACAGACAGGUGCAAUGCAGCUCUGUAGAUUUGGUAUUUUUAUUUGGUAGACUUUUAACUAAUUAUCGGGUACUUGUUAUCAGGUGAUUGUGGCGUCUUUACUUUGAAGACCAUCGAGUGUUUGGCUUUGUGCCAUAAAUGGGACCAGCUGAAAGAUAGCAACAUGCCUCUCAUUCGUAUGAAAUACGCAGCUGAGAUUUUUGAUGAGGUACAUGAAGCAGAAGAAUCCCGGAUGUCUGAUCCUAACCCUCGAAGUUUAUUUGAUGACAAGUACGGUUUACAGACAGACUCCGCUAACUGAGAUCUUCGUUUGGUAGACCUUUGGGAUCUGAGAUCGUUUCUUGGUAGAUUUAAUACUCAGAUCCAAACUAAUUGGUAGACUUUUGGUAUCAGAUGUUGUAUUUUGGCCGAUUUAUUACUCAUAGCCAGCCUCUUUGGUGGUCUUUUGGAAUUUAGACGUCGCUUGUGUUUUGGAAUUUAAAGCGAAUCGCCAUGGCUGUAAAAGGAACUUGCUUUGUAGAUUUAUAACAUGAUUGGUAGAUUUAUUCCAUGAGUAGAUUUAUAACAUGAUUGGUAGAUUUAUUGCAAUAUUGGUAGAUUUAUAACAUGACUGGUAGAUUUAUUCCAUGAAUGGUAGAUUUAUAACAUGAUUGGUAGAUUUAUUGCAGUAUUGGUAGAUUUAUAGCAUGAUUGGUAGAUUUAUUAUUGUAAAAUAGUAGAGUUUAGGUAAAAAAAGUUCCAGAUUUACAAGUACAUAAAACAAGGUUUUCAAGCGGAUUAUUGCAGUCUAUAAUAGUACAAAUACAAGGUUUUCGAUUUGUCAACUAAGCUCGACAAGUUAGGCGAUUAUGUCCGCCUUGGCCCCAGUUACCACAUUUGGGGAUCUUCCGAGGACGUUUACUCGCCAUGGCGGCCUCGAACGCACCCUUAAUCCGAAUUUUCUUUGGCCUGCCGGGUCGGUUGCGAACAUCAGGCGGGAGACAAAUUUUGGUUGCUACUUCAUCUGGCACAAGGAGUGCUACGUCUCUUGGCAUCACACUAACAGCAUACGCUUGUUACAAGUAACUAGUGUGGUAGUAAUGAUGGCAAAGAGAGAUCAGCGACAACUUCCUCCUAUCGGCGGCGGCUAUGGCAUGUACGCAAGGAAUUUUAUCCAAAUCAAACCGUCGACAAGUACAUGUUUUUUCCGUUAAAUUGACAACAUGUGCAGAUGUUGUGCCUAAAACCUCUGCACGAUGCUGAUCAAUCUCUUGCACAGGUAAGAGUUUAGCAUCUUCAACUCUAGCCUGUCGGCAAGGAAUUAUUCAGAAGUUAUAUAAGUCUACCACAUAGAAGUAAUAACUCUACCAAAUAAUUGAAAGUCUACUAAAUAGCAGAGAUAAGUGUACCAAGUCUACCAAAUAAUAGAAAGUCUACCUAAUAGCAGUACAAGUCUACCACAUAGAAGUAAUAACUCUACCAAAUAAUUGAAAGUCUACUAAUAGCAGAGAUAAGUGUGCCAAGUCUACCAAAUAAUAGAAAGUCUACCUAAUAGCAGAUACAAGUCUACCAAAUAAUAGAAAGUCUACAAGGUAAAGUAGUGACUACCUCCAACAACUUUUCAACGCCCGUUGUUAGAGUGGUAGCCAUGUUAUUGGCAUUCACACGUCUUUUAGCAAACCACCUGGUCAGGAGACUCCUUAUAUCAUCCACUAGUCGUACGAUAGGCUUACCUCUUGCAGCAGAUAGCACCUUGUUUAAUGACUCCGCUAUGUUGCUAGUGGUAAAAUUGUACCUAUCACCUUGGAAGUGUACACGACUCCACAUACAAAUAUCUGCCUUCACCAAGUAUGCAUGCAGUGCAGGAUUUGCCUCUUGAAUCUGAGCAAAAAGGGCAUUGAACUCGAGAAGUCUAUAAGCAGUGGCAGCCUUCUUAACAAGCUUGAAUGUUUCAGCGCCUCUGAAUUUCACCAUAAUGUUCUUAUGGAGAUGAUAUGUACAAAUACCCCGACUAGCAAGAGGAUAAACCUUCCCUAUAGCAUUUCCUAUGGAUUUAUGCCUAUCAGAAAUAAUGGCAAGUCCUUCAUCAUCAGGAAUAACACGGUGUAGUUGUGUAAAAAACCAUUCCCAAGACUCAUCGUUCUCAGUAUCAACAACAGCAAAGGCUACGGGAAAAAUGUUGAAGUUUCCAUCUUGCGUGGUGGCGAGUAGUAGGGUACCUUUGUAUUUUCCAUGUAAAAACGUACCGUCGACCACUACCACUUUCCUCAUGAAGGGAAACCCCUGUAUGCUUGCGCCAAAUGAGAGGAACAUAAAUUUGAAUCUAUCUUCCUCAUCAACUUCUAGCUUGAUUAGUGUACCCGGAUUUGCUCGCCGAAUCAUAUAUAAGUAUGAAGGCAGAUCUUCAUAACCACUUUCAGACGUCCCUGAUACUAGUUCUCGAGCAUACUUUAGGGCCCGAUGUGCUUUCCAAUAGUCAACCUUAUAAUGAGAAAUAAUAUAGUGACGUCUACGAAAUAAGAUAAUAACUCUACCACAAAAAUAAUAACUCUACCAUGGUAGAUAAUAACUCUACCAAAUAAAUUAUAUAAGUCUACCAAAUAAAUUAUAUAAGUCUACCAAUUGAGCUAAUAACUCUACCAAAAAUUAAAAAAAGUCUACCAAUUGAGCUAAUAACUCUACCAAAAAAUAAAUAGUCUACCAAUUGCGCUAAUAACUCUACCAAAAUAAUAAAAGUCUACUCAAAGAGAUAAUAACUCUACCAAAGAAAUAAUAUAACUCUACCACAUACCUUUAUACUAUAUCGUUUGGUCAGAGCUUCGGCGACGUGAUUUGGUAAGACUUUUGGGCCAACACCGCCGACGAAGUCCUUAUAUAGACGGCCUAGAACCUCAUGGGUUGCAUGGCGGGUGCGUUGUGAUCGCACAGUCACAGAACACGUGUGUUCUCGAGUAUAAGUUUUAACCCAAAAACAUUUGCUGCUCCCAACAGUUGAAGCGCGAACCCUCCAUUUGCAACCAUCUACCCAACACUUAACAGUUAGCAAUUUCUUACUCGAAUGAUCGACAUUGUAGUCGAAUUUGUGAGCAAUGGAAAGAAUUUUGAGUCGCAUCUCGAAGUCCUCUUUUGUUUCAUAACGCUGGCCAACGGCUAAGUCUAAAGAUGAAAGCUCUAGACUUUGAAAGUCGGGAAUUGUAGUCGGUCCCCUUUUCUUCGGUGGUAGAUUUAGCGACUCCUCCUCAUCUGAACUUUCACCAUCUGGACGUUUCUCACGUCUUUCGUACUCUUCGUCAUCGGAACUUGCACCAUCAGGAUCUUCACAUCCAUCAAAUCUGGUUGACAAAUCCUCUUCUUCAUCAUGCAUUUCUUCGUCUUGUCCAACUUCGACACCUUCUUGCGGACGAUCUUGGCGCACUUGUUCUUCAGGGACUAGACUAGGACAUGCAUCUCGAUCUUCGUCUUCAUCAACAACUCCCUUCUGAACUUUUUCUUUGAUCUCAACACAUAAACGAACCGUUUCGUUUUCGUUCUGGAAUUGAUGCAAAAAACUCUGCAGCUGUCUUGAAUUACCAACAAACACAGGAGGUGUAUCCAGAGGUAAUUUCCGUCGGACUUCAGACGACAACAUAUAGCUGAACUGAAGCUCAUAAAGAUGUUGAUCCAACCCAAAAUCUUCAUAUGCGAUUUCAACCAAAUCGGCAAAUGACGUUUUGCGGUCUAUCCCUAUAAAACUACAUCUCCUGGACUGAUCUACGAUGAAGACCCACCUCGUUUUCUUUAAAACCCAGUUACCACAAACCAAAACAACUUGAUCCAUGAAUAUAAAAGUGGAUAAGAGGCAGAAGAUCGAAGUAGAAGGAAAAAAUCAAGAGUUAUCCCAAGUUUAACAGCUCGACGGUGAAACCUAGAGGUUGAAGAUGGACUCUGGUUUUGUUCCGUACUUUAGACAAUACAUACAGGGCAAAAAAGUAAAAUCGCACUGCCCGAUAACUAAGUCUACCACAUUGAUAUUGAAUCUAACAAUUUACAAACAAAUCUACCAUAUAGGUUACUAAGUCUACCAUUAAUAAAACAUAUGUACUUGUAAUGUUUAUAGCUCUACCAACUAAAGUACAGUACAUUUAAGCAGGUGGAAAACCAAUACAAGUCCGUUUCCUUAUGUUUAGUAGAUUUAUAUUAAGUCGAAUGGUAGACUUAUAUUAUAUUGUUGGUAGAUUUGUUGUAAAAGACUUGUCAUGUUCCCAAUUUCAGUUGAACGAAUGGUAGACUUAUAUUAUAUUGUUGGUAGAUUUGUUGUAAAAGACUUGUCAUGUCCCCAAUUUCAGUCGAACGAAUGGUAGACUUAUUAUUAUUUUUGGUAGAUUUGUUAUAAUUAAUAGUCAUGUUCCCAAUUUCAGUUGAACGAAUGGUAGACUUAUUAUAUUGUUGGUAGAUUUGUUGUAAAAGACUUGUCAUGUCCCCAAUUUCAGUCGAACGAAUGGUAGACUUAUUAUUAUUUUUGGUAGAUUUGUUAUAAUUAAUAGCUUUCGAAAUGAAUAACACAUAAAUCUACUUAACACAACAUAAAUAACACAACAUAACUUCAUAAGUCUACUUCAUAAUAAAAACAAAUCUACUUAACUAAACAGAAGUCUUUUUGACGACUACUGAUGCAAUCAACGUGGCCAAUCCAUAGCAAACGACGGUACUACCCACCAGAAAUUGGCACACUCCAAUUUCCAGAAGCAGGAUUCACAAAGUUGAUCCCCAUACGUCUCUAGCAGGUAUUCAUCUCUCAUCCAUUGCAUGUCUGGUACUUUGAGACAACCACAAAUCCUUGUAGUUAAAGACUUUUUAUAAGCCUCGAAAACCAUUUCCACCAGUUCCUCGGGCUUCUGGAAAUUGAACGCAGGCAUGAAGAUCUUUUCCAUUGCCAAUCUCAUUUGCUUUGCAUCUUCCCGGGAGAGAGCUUUGACAGAGUUGAAUACCUCUGAUGUGCCAUCCAUGGUUAGAUGUAACAUAGUGUGGCAGUACUUACCCAUGAGAAAUCCGUUGUCUGAUGCCAUUCGAAUGAGAUCACACCCUGCUUGGAGGUUAUGUUCGAAGAAAAUCACCGAUAAACCUCUUCGCAAUUGUGCGGAUGGAUUUCCUGCCGCCAAGCACCGUCUGAAGAAUGCACCGACCCUUCCGUGAACAUCCCACCUCCACGGCAAGAUAAUGUUGAUUAAAUCAACAUUCCUAAGAAAACCCGCUUCGUUAGAGAUGUUGUUAAGUGUUUUGGACGAAACUUUUGCAAGACAAAGAUCCGCAUACGAGUUUGAAGAUAUUUUCAACAAUAUCUCGUACAAAAGAUCAGAAGGAAACGACUCGAGAUUCGCCAUAGGGUUUAGAGGGAUGGGAAAUGAAUCGUCUAGGUUGUGGUAUUUAUAGAGAACUCACACGAGAACUCGAAGCGACUCGAGUCAAUAGAAGUUCUCGAAAUCGAUGCGACUGUUCGUUGGAAAAUGCAUAAGUCUACCAUAUGCGACGGUUCGUUGGUAACGGUUUAUGGUUACCGUUACCAUAAGUCUACCAUAUGGACGAAAAUUGCAAGACGUACAACACUGAAACCAUAAGUCUACCAAACAGUAGGUUUUUUUGUAGAUAGAACAAUUCUUUUGGAAAAAAAAGUAAUUUUACUCCAUAAAGUCAAAUGUCUGCCAAACAUUAAAUACUAAGUCUACCUCAAGCAUGACAAAUAACUCUACCAUAUAAACAAGUCUACCAUAAGCAUGUCAUAUGUCUACCAGAUCAAGGUUAACUCUGUAAAUACCAAACUUAAUUAAUCUACCACAUUGUUAUUUCAACAAGUCUACCAUACGGCAGAUAAGUCUACCAGAUUACAUAAACUCUACCAAACAUACAAACAAAUCUACCAACAUCUUGUAAGUCUACUUCAUGUCAUUAUUAAUCUACCACAAAUCAGAAUGAAAUUUUUAAAAAAUAUAAGUCUACCACAAAACAAAUAAAUCUACCAACAGUUUUUAAGUCUACCUCAUGUAACAUAUAGUCUACCACUAACCGGAAUGAAUUUAAACUGAAUUAAAUCUACCACAAAAGCGAAAACUCUACCAAUUAUAUAUAACUCUACCAUGAAACAGAUAAGUCUACCGCACGUAUUGACAACUUUUUUCACAUAAAUCUACCGCUAAAGGAAAUAAGUCUACCAACUCAGAAAAUAAAUCUACUUCAUUGUCAAUAAAUCUACCGAAAAAGUCAACUAUGCGAGAAAGUCAACGUUUUUGUUAACAAGUCUACCAAAACUUUUGACAAGUCUACCAUUCAUAACAACAAAUCUACCGAAACAUAAUAAAUCUACCUCUCAUCGUCAAAACUCUACCAAGAAAAGUCUACCAACAUUUAAAAACUCUACCAACUCUUGAAUAAAUCUACCAUCGCCUUAAUAACUCUACCAACAAAAUUUCUGCGUUGACCAAAAUUUCAUAAGUCUACCACAAAGCUUGGUAGACUUAUGAAAUUUUUAGCGCCAGAAUCUGCCUACGUGGCAUUAAAAAAGUAAUGGCAUUUUCGUAAUAAGAUUUUUUUCAACAAAGGCCAAAAGGGUGUUUUGGGUAUGCUAGGUUAGUUUUGUAAAAAAAAUAAAAGUGCGUCGAACCAGUAAUAUAGAUACUUUCUAAGGUUAGUGUAGUAAUCCUCCCUAAAAUAAAUGAAAAAUGAUUAAAAGCUUAAGAACCGCACUUUAAACUUUUUAUUUAAGAACUCAUCCUUACAUGUUUUUAAACACAUGUGACAUCAUUUUAUUGGUAUUUUUUUGUGGAGACUCUCUCUCCUCUCAUAUUUAUUAUUAAAAAAACUCAUAAAAAUUUCAUGGGGGACUCUGAGAUGGAGAUGCUCUACUAGGCGGCAGUAAUCCCUCACAGAAUCAAAGAUCAUCCUUAAGCCCAAUGUGAACAUCCAGAGCCAAGAUAUAAAGUAAAAUCAUGUACCCUAACUAGACACCAGGCCCACGACCAACAUAAACAAAUUUGAUUUUGUCACAUAUUCAUACAAAAGUUAUUCGACAAGAAAGAGAAAAAUAAUUACGUCCACAAAAAGUCGUCUGCUCAUUGUGAAACACAGAAAAUAGAAAUAUCCACACAAAAGCGAGACAUAUAACAAUAGAGACCUACUAAACGUAUCAUUUCAGUUUAGUGUCUUGAUUCCAUUCUUCCCAAUCUCGUAAACGCAACCGUUCAACUCAUCUUGAAGGAGAAAAAUUGACCAAAGAUGGGAGACUUACAUUAACUCGUCAAUCUUAAUUUUUCCCUCGAUCUUCAAGAAUUUCUGCUUAUUGAGAAAAUUUAGAGAAAUUUGGCAGUAAUUUGCAAUCUGGAUAAGAAUGUCGUAGAUGGCAAUUAGUAAUCCAUCGCAGAAUUCCAGAUCAUCCUCAAUCUCAAUCUGAACAUCAUGAGCCAAGAUAUAUACGUAAAAGUAUAAUGCAGCGGUGCAAAGACACCAAUCGUCUGCUAUUUUCAUCAAGCAGAUCAUGGAGCAUGAAGCCAGAAGUCUUAACAAAAAUGUAUACAUCAUUCCAAAGUGUUUCCCUUUAGAUUGAUGCACACAUGAGGUGACUAUUGGGGAACUAGAGCCAAUAGACCAAUGGUCAGGAGUACACCCAAGAUGACUCAUAAUUCACUCCAUUUGAUCAACCUAAAUUAGAGGGAUGAGAGCAUGCAGAGGAUCGAUACGGAGAGGCACAAUUAACAUACAUAUGUAAAUCCACAAGGAUAACUACACACCAAGCUAACUAUUAAAGUUCAUAGUAUUAUCAUUUGACACACAUUAUACACAUAUUUAAUAGUAUUAUAGUUUGGGACAUACUAUUAAAAUCAUGUAGGUUAACUACACACCAAGCUUACAACUAAUGCAAUUAUUUGGCACACAUUUUGCACAUACUUAAUAGUACAUACUUUUACAAAGUUAUGUCGGCAAAAAAAAAAAAUCACAGUAACCAAUUAAAGUUCAUUCAAUCAUUGUGAAAAUGAUGAGUGGAGAUUUUGACUCAUUCUAACUUGUGUUUACUGAUUGUUUUAGGAGUUUUUGGAGUCUUUUCAGGAAGUUUCAGGUGACUUAGAGGCCUUAUCAAAGGAUUGAAGUGUUUAGGAGGCAUUGGAGCAAAAAGAGAUGAAUUUGAGCAAUAAGGAGCUAUUUCACACGUUUUUGGAGAAAUCAUCCCCGGAGCACCUGCUCCCGGUUUGGACCCUUCGUGGAGCACCUGCUCCAGACGGGAGAAAAAUAAGGAAAACGAUUUUUACCUAAUUCUGGGAUCAGAAAGAGAAUAAAAAGCCCAGAGCCGCCUGUGUUUUAGAAUCACGUUUUUCUACAGACUUUCUACGCUUUCUUUUUACAAUUUCCUGAACCAUAGAGUUUUUACUUGUAAGCUUUUGGGAGAAGAAAUCUGCUACACUUUGAGAAGAAUUCUGAAUCCUAUUAUCUCUUCUGCGAUUUUAAUUCAUGAAUUCCUUUCCAUCUGUUUCUGUGUUUCUUUUCUCCAUGUCUGAGUAGAUCUCUUAGCUAGAUUAAAGCGUUCAAAGGAUUUCAUGAGUUAAAGGAUUAGAUGCAAAUAGGGCUUGAUAUCUAUUGUCUUCACCAUUGUUAGACUUAAUGCUUAGGUUGAAUUGAUCACUCAAUCUGCGAUUUUAGGUUAAUCUGUUCAUCAAAAGUGUAAUAGGUUGCUAGAAUAAACAUUGGUGAGCGAUUUGUCCUUAGCCAACGACAGUUGAAGUUAAGGCAAAUUGUGAACAGAUCAAACCUGCUAGCUAAUGCUUGUCUGCAAUUUUCUAGAUUCAAACGACAGUUUAGGAUUUAGGUUGUUAGACAAAGUUAUCGAGAUCACGACAGUGGAUCGAUAAGCUUUUCUGUUUGAGUUCGAGACUUGCGUUACACUUGUGCCCUGAAUAGUCAUCUGGUUCUUAUCUCUGAAAUUUCUGCGAAUUGCUUUGGUCUAGUGCUUGUUUUAAUUUGAAUUUAAAUCGUUGUUUGCCAUUCUGUUUACUUUUUAGUUUUCGAAACAAACCAUCUUUCGUCUUCGCUUUAAUUCAAUCCUCACAAAUUCAUAUAGUAACACUGGUCCUCUGGAUUCCGAAUCCUUUAUAUUACAACUACAUCACUGUUCUAUUGCAGUAGAAACUAGGAGUAUAUCUAGUGAGAAUCAAAUUUUGGCGCCGUUGCGACGGGGACCAAUUCGUUACCUUUGAUUUUUGGUUUGAAAUUCAGACUAAGGCUUUACUAAUUUUUCUCUCUUGUUCUCUUGUUUGCGUGUGUUUCAGGUGUAUGUCAAACAUAUCCACAAGGAGCAACUGCACCGAUCUUGUUUCUUUGUCGAACACCGAUCUAGCAAGAGUCGAGCGAGAAAACAGACGUCAAAGGCCUAUUCAAGCCAACAUGGGCGAUCAAGGCAACAAUGGCAACAUGGCUGUCGAGGUUCAACAGCUUCGACAACAAUUGGAGCAGCUACAAAAGGUGCAGCAAGACAGGGAGCAGCCACAACUUGCUAUUGGAGACAAGGACAGUCCGCACGCCUACUAUCACAACAGGGCUGCGAUUGCUCCUCCAACCAUUCAGAGGCAAGACUUUGAGAUCAAACCUCAGCUGAUCUCAUUGGUGAAGCAGCACCUCUUUCAUGGGCUUCCUGCUGAGAUUCCGAUGGACCACAUCGAGAAUUUUGAGGAGAUUUGCAGCACGACUGGAUCAAAUGGGAUACCAGCCGAUUUCUUGAAGUGCAAGCUUUUUCCAUUCUCACUUGCGGACAAAGCUUUGCGCUGGCUGAAGUCAUUACCACCUGGAUCAUUGACUACAUGGGAAGAGUGCAGAUCAGCAUUUUUUGACCAUUUCUACACUAAGGCCAAAACUGCAGCUCUGAAGAACAAGAUCUCGUCGUUUAAACAGCAACCUGGUGAAGCUUUCUGCGAAGCUUGGGAGAGGUACAAGGAGUACCGAAGAGAGUGCCCUCACCAUGGGUUCUCUGAUGAGCAGAUUCUGUUAACCUUUUAUGAUGGUGUCAACUGGGAUUACAGGAAUGCUUUGAAUGCAGCUAGCAAUGGCGAUUUCAUAACUAAGUCCAAAGAAGCUGCUUAUGAGUUGAUUGAGAACUUAGCUGCAAGCUCCAGCAACAAAUCCCAAGAGUAUGACAGGUCUAGCAAAUCAGUUCAUAGUGUGGAGUUGAGCAAAAUCGAUGAGCUUACAGCAAAGGUGAAUCUGCUGCUGAGAGAGAACCAGAGAUCUGUGCAUUUUGCUGAUGAGGUCGGUGAUGCACCUCUUGCUCAAGAGUUUGUAGAUGCAGAGAAUAAUGAUCAGAUGGAGGUAAAUUUCGUGAAUGGACAAGGGUAUGUGCAGAAUCGCAGUUUCAACAACUUCAAAAGCCACCCGAAUUUAUCCUACAGAAGCAACAAUGUUGAGAACCCUCAGGAUCAGGUCUAUCCACAGCAAGGAGUGCAGAAUCAGUCAGGAUUUCAGAAGAACUUCUCCAGCAACUUCCAAGGAAAGCAGUUCAUCACCAAUCAUAAUCGAUUUCAAGGUGGAAAUCAGCAGAAGUUGCCUUUCACAAGUCUACAGCCUUCUUCGAGUUCCUCAAAUAACUCGCAGGAUGAGCUGAAAAACUUGAUGCAACAGCUGCUGGUUAAUCAGCAAAAGUCUUCCAUGGAGAUUAAUGCCAAAGUGGACACCAUGUACAAUGAUUUGAAUGGCAAGUAUGAGGCUGUGUGGACUCAUGUGAAGAAGCUGGAUGUUCAGGUAGCUCAGACUGCAGAAGCUGUGAAGAGAUCACCUGGAACUCUCCCUGGAAAAGGUGAAAAUCCCAGGAAUGAGUUUGUGAAUGCUAUUGAGCUUAAAAGUGGGAAGACUCUACAUGCUGCACCAACAAGCUCUGUCUCAGAAAAGAGGAAGAAAAAGGACGUGGAGCACCUGCUCCAAGAAGAGGAACCAGCUCAUGACGUAAAAAAGACGAAGGAGCACUCUUCCUCCAUCAGAGCACCUGCUCCAAAAUCUGGAGCACCUGCUCCAGACGUAGAUUUGACGAGGGAGCACCCUGAGCCAACGAGGGAGCACCUGCUCCAGCCACCUGCCCCAGCAAACAUUCCUGCAAGAGUUUACACGCCUAAGGUACCUUAUCCAGUUCCACCAAAGAAGUCUCGCAAGGACUUAGAGGAUGAAAAGUGCAGGGAGAUGCUGAAGGAUUUGACUGUAAAACUCCCUCUAGCUGAUGCUGUUCAGAUGAUGCCAGCCCUUAAAAGAUACAUGAAGAGGUUAGUGUCUGGGAAAGCUGUUGAGGAAGAGAGUGUCAUGAUGGUUUCGAAGGAGUGCAGUGCUGUGCUUCAGAACAAAGUGCUGAAGAAGAGAAGUGAUCCAGGAAGGUUUGUUCUCUCAGUCAGGAUUGGGAAUGUACUGUUUGCAAGGUCUCUCUGCGAUCUGGGUUCAAGUGUGAAUCUGAUGCCUUACUCUGUAGCCAAGCGAUUGGGUUACACCAGAUUCAAACCGACGAAAAUCUCGCUGGUAUUUGCUGAUAGAUCAACCAAAUUCCCUGUUGGUAUACUUGAGGAUCUGCAUGUUCAGAUAGGUGAUACACUCAUUCCAGCAGAUUUUGUGGUUCUGGAGCUUGAUGAAGAAACCAAGGAUCCUUUGAUAUUGGGUCGAUCCUUCUUAUGCACAGCUGGUGCAAUCAUAGAUGUGAAAGAAGGAGUGAUAGAUCUCCAGCUGGGAGAUAUGGUGGUGCGAUUUGAGAUGAAUAAACUCUUCAAGAAACCAAUGCUGGACGGACAGACAUUUGUCAUAGAUGAUGGUUCAAGCAUUGCUGAAGAGGUUGCUGAAGAGGUUUCGGCCAUCGAUCCUCUCGAAGUUGCACUCACCAAAGCUGAAGGAGAACAUGGGUAUUUGAGUGAAGAAGCUGAUGGGUUUGCAAAAAUGCUGAAUGCAAGCACGAGGAUGCAAAGGCUGGUGGCGUACAUGAGCUUAGAAGGCAAGGAGAGCUCACCUGCAGAAAAAGCCGACGGAGCACCUGCUCUGAAUCCUGGAGCACCUGCUCCCGACGGCUUGAUUGAUGGACCUUGGAGCGAAUUGAGAGCUCCGAAGCUUGAGCUCAAACCCCUUCCUGUGGGGCUCAGGUACGCGUUUCUAGGACCCAAUUCGACAUUCCCUGUGAUAGUAAACUCUGAAUUGAACAAUGUAGAGAUUGCCUUGCUUCUUUGUGAAAUUAGAAAGUAUAGGAAAGCUAUAGGAUAUUCACUAGAUGACAUUCCAGGGAUUUCUCCUGAUCUUUGCAUGCAUAGAAUACAUCUAGAAGAUGAAUCAAUGACUUCUGUAGAACAUCAGAGGAGGUUAAACCCGAAUCUACAAGAUGUUGUAAAGAAAGAGAUAAUGAAACUUCUAGAAGCUGGUGUGAUCUAUGCAAUUUCAGAUAGUAAUUGGGUUAGUCCGGUUCAUGUAGUUCCUAAGAAAGGUGGCAUCACUGUGAUAAAAAAUGAUAGGAAUGAAUUGAUACCAACUAGAACUGUUACUGGGCAUCGAAUGUGCAUAGAUUACAGGAAAUUGAAUGCUGCAACUCGCAAAGAUCAUUUUCCUUUACCAUUUAUCGAUCAGAUGCUUGAACGCUUGGCUAACCAUCCUUAUUACUGUUUCUUAGAUGGUUAUUCAGGUUUCUUUCAGAUCCCAAUCCACCCGGAUGACCAGGAUAAGACGACAUUCACAUGUCCUUAUGGCACCUUUGCAUAUCGCAGAAUGCCAUUUGGCUUGUGUAAUGCUCCAGCAACAUUCCAACGCUGCAUGAUGUCGAUUUUCACUGACCUGAUUGAAGACAUAAUGGAAGUUUUCAUGGACGAUUUUUCUGUCUAUGGAAGCUCCUUUUCUGUCUGUUUGUCUAAUCUGUGCAGGGUUUUGCAGCGGUGUGAGGAGAAGCAUCUGGUGCUUAACUGGGAGAAAUGCCAUUUCAUGGUGAGAGAUGGGAUCGUGCUGGGACACAAAAUCUCAGAGAAAGGGAUCGAGGUGGACAGGGAAAAGAUCGAGGUGAUGAUGAGUCUGCAGCCACCAACAUCAGUCAAGGGGGUUCGCAGUUUUCUGGGCCAUGCAGGUUUUUACAGACGCUUCAUCAAAGAUUUCUCGAAGAUUGCCAGACCCCUGACGCAGCUGCUGUGCAAGGAUGUGAAAUUCGAGUUUGAUGAUGCAUGUUUGGAGGCAUUUCACAGGAUAAAAGGAGCUUUGGUCAGCGCUCCUAUUGUCCAGCCACCAGAUUGGGAACUAGCUUUUGAGGUCAUGACCGAUGCUAGUGAUUAUGCAGUGGGAGCAGUGCUGGGACAGAGGAAAGAAAAGAAGCUCCACGUCAUCUAUUAUGCUAGCCGAACACUCGACGAGGCUCAGUGCAGAUAUGCCACAACUGAAAAGGAGCUUCUUGCAGUGGUUUAUGCUUUUGAGAAGUUCAGGUCCUACCUUGUUGGGUCGAAAGUUGUUGUUCACACAGACCAUGCAGCUCUGAAAUACCUGUUGACGAAGAAAGAUGCCAAGCCAAGGCUCCUUCGAUGGAUCCUUUUGCUGCAGGAGUUUGAUUUGGAGAUUAAAGACAAAAAAGGGAUUGAUAAUGGUGUUGCAGACCACUUUUCGAGGCUGAGGAUAGAUGAUGACAUUCCACUAAAUGACAGCCUUCCUCAUGAACAAGUUUACGCCAUAGAUGUUUCUGGGUUCGACGGGCACCUGCUCCCCACCGGAGCACCUGCUCUGACGAGUUUUUGCAACCAAGUUGACAUAGAUCGGCAUUCUGGUUUCCCAUGGUUUGGAGAGAUUGCAAAUUACCUUGCUGCAGAGCAGGAACCUGCAGGUUUUGUGGGAAACAAAAAGAAGAAGUUUCUGAAGGAUGUGAGGCACUACUUUUGGGAUGAGCCUUAUUUAUACAGGCAUUGCUCUGAUGGAAUUUUCAGAAGAUGUGUAGCUGACGAGGAGAUACCAGGAGUGUUGUUUCAUUGCCAUGGAUCCUCUUAUGCAGGUCACUUCGCCACUUUCAAGACUGUGUCGAAAAUUCUCCAAGCUGGGUAUUGGUGGUCGACGAUGUUCCGAGAUGCAGCGAGUUUUAUCUCCAGGUGUGACACAUGUCAGAGACAAGGGAACAUCAGCAGGAGGAAUGAGAUGCCUCAGAAUUUCAUCUUGGAAGUAGAGAUUUUCGAUGUGUGGGGUAUAGACUUCAUGGGACCUUUUCCAUCAUCUUAUGGGAAUGAGUAUAUUCUGGUGGCAGUUGACUAUGUGUCAAAGUGGGUGGAAGCUCUGGCUAGUCCCACAAAUGACGCAAAGGUGGUUUUAAAGAUGUUCAAAUCUGUCAUUUUUCCCAGGUUUGGUGUGCCGCGAGUGGUGAUUAGCGAUGGAGGCUCUCACUUCAUCAACAAAGUCUUUGAAAACUUGUUGAAGAAGAAUGGUGUAAGGCAUAAGGUGGCGACCCCAUACCAUCCUCAGACGAGUGGGCAAGUUGAGGUUUCCAACAGGGAAAUCAAGAACAUUCUGCAGAAGACUGUGAGCACCACAAGGAAGGAUUGGGCAGUGAAGCUUGAUGAUGCUCUUUGGGCAUACAGAACAGCUUACAAAACACCUUUGGGGACUACACCAUUCCACUUGGUGUAUGGAAAAGCAUGUCAUCUUCCAGUGGAACUUGAGUACAAAGCUGCUUGGGCAGUGAAGCUGCUGAAUUUCGAUGCAAGGAGUGCUCAGGAGAGGAGAGUAAUGCAGUUGCAUGAGCUGGAGGAAAUUAGGCACCUGGCAUAUGAAAACUCGAAGAUUUACAAAGAGAGGACAAAAGCUUUCCAUGACAGGAGGAUCCUCAACAGAAGCUUUGCACCAAACGAUCAUGUAUUGCUCUUUAACUCUAGAUUGAAAUUGUUUCCAGGGAAGCUGAGAUCGAGAUGGUCUGGACCAUUCACCAUCAAGGAGGUUCGACCAUAUGGAGCUGUAGUGUUGCUGGACACUAAAGGAGGCGAGUUUGUUGUCAAUGGACAGAGGUUGAAACCAUACCUUGCUGGUCCAAAUAUCGCAGAAGGUCAAUCAGUCACCCUAAGCGAUCCUCCUCAAGCCUAAAUGGCUUUCCAAGUCAAGCUAAUGACUUAAAACAAGCGCUUGGUGGGAGGCAACCCACCGGUAAGAGUCUCUAACUUUGUGUCUUUCAAUUCUUAGCUACUAACUUUGUUUUUAGGUUCUUUGUUUUCAAAAAAAAAAAAAAAAGGUAAGAAGUUGUUCAACGUGGAAGAGAAGAUGUGAGGAAGAAGAAGGAAGAGCACCCAACCGGAGCACCUGCUCCAUCUGCUGGGUUGGUUGCUCACCACGUAAAAAGUGACGAAAGAGCACCCCCUCCCCAGUCGGAGCACCUGCUCCACAGGGUGCUCACCACGUAAAAAAGACGAGGGAGCACCCAGCUCUGUUCCGGAGCACCUGCUCCGCCAGGGUGCUCUACAUGUGCGAACCAGGUAAGUUUUCUGGACACUUCUCUAGCUUAUUUUCACACCGGGGACAGUGUGAAGUAAGUUCGGGGGAGGAUCAUGACCCUUGUACUUCUUUCUUUUGCUUUCUUCCUUUUAGUACUUUCUUUGAGUCAGUUUUAGUUUGUUUCUUUGAGUUAUUUUGUUUCUUUGAGUCAGUUUGUUAUAUGAGUCAAGUCAAAGAUUGUGGGAAUGAGGACCAAUUCUAUGAUGAUUUCAGACCAUUUGUGAAUCUUGACCAUCUUCUUCUAGUGAUUAUUGCUGCAGAAUCAUCUAGAUCGACUAAUGGAAAAUCCAAAGACAAAGCAGUAGACUAGAGGAGCCCAAAAUUCUUGACACAUCCAAUGAACCUGAGCUAAUUUUUCAGCUUUUCAUUUUCCUCAUCGAUCAGGUUAGUGCUCAUAGGGCUUGACUCCUCAUUCUUACCUGACAAAUAAAGACCUGUGUGAUAGAUUUGGUAUUCCUCUCUUAUGUUCUAAGCAUUGUUUCAGGCUGUUUCUAAAAAAAAAAAAUAUGAUCAAAAGGCAGAAAAGAUUGAAAUGAUUUUCUUUUAGAAGUAAAGGGUUAGGAAAAUUUCCAAGGAUCCCAUUAUUUUACUUCUAAAGUGGAAUGAUCACACAAGGGAUGGAAGCGAGGGGUAGGAAAAUUUCCUGUGACCCCAUUAUUCGCCUACACCUUUGAUAUAUGAUGAGGGGACAAACCGGGGAUUCGGUGGCAAUCACCAUCAAUACUCGCGUCUUUGAACCUUGUUAUAUGUGCCGAAAAAAAAAAAAAAAAAAAAACGAAACAGCUUGAAAAGUGAAUAAGUUCGGGGGAGAGGAAAGGUACUUUUGUGUAGUAUGGUCAAUUUGUUGAGGUAUAAGUAUGGGAACGAGUCUAGAAGGUCCUUAGCACUGGUUUUAUCGAUGAGACUCAGCGAUGAUGGGACAUGGAUGAUGUUAUGAAAUUGAGGGACUAACCUGGAAAGCUGCAGCGUACGGAGAAGUAUAUGGAGGUUAGAUUUUUGAUUGAUUUUGCAGCAGAUUGUCACAUGUCUUGGUCGGGUUUACGGUCUUUUGAGUUUUGCGAGUUCCCAGCUUUAUCCAGUCAUUCUUUUGGAGUUGAAUUUGAGUUUGUUUGAGGACAAACAAGGAUUCAAGUUCGGGGGAGUUGAUGAGUGGAGAUUUUGACUCAUUCUAACUUGUGUUUACUGAUUGUUUUAGGAGUUUUUGGAGUCUUUUCAGGAAGUUUCAGGUGACUUAGAGGCCUUAUCAAAGGAUUGGAGUGUUUAGGAGGCAUUAGAGCAAAAAGAGAUGAAUUUGAGCAAUAAGGAGCUAUUUCACACGUUUUUGGAGAAAUCAUCCCCGGAGCACCUGCUCCCGGUUUGGACCCUUCGUGGAGCACCUGCUCCAGACGGGAGAAAAAUAAGGAAAACGAUUUUUACCUAAUUCUGGGAUCAGAAAGAGAAUAAAAAGCCCAGAGCCGCCUGUGUUUUAGAAUCACGUUUUUCUACAGACUUUAUACGCUUUCUUUUUACAAUUUCCUGAACCAUAGAGUUUUUACUUGUAAGCUUUUGGGAGAAGAAAUCUGCUACACUUUGAGAAGAAUUCUGAACCCUAUUAUCUCUUCUGCGAUUUUAAUUCAUGAAUUCCUUUCCAUCUGUUUCUGUGUUUCUUUUCUCCAUGUCUGAGUAGAUCUCUUAGCUAGAUUAAAGCGUUCAAAGGAUUUCAUGAGUUAAAGGAUUAGAUGCAAAUAGGGCUUGAUAUCUAUUGUCUUCACCAUUGUUAGACUUAAUGCUUAGGUUGAAUUGAUCACUCAAUCUGCGAUUUUAGGUUAAUCUGUUCAUCAAAAGUGUAAUAGGUUGCUAGAAUAAACAUUGGUGAGCGAUUUGUCCUUAGCCAACGACAGUUGAAGUUAAGGCAAAUUGUGAACAGAUCAAACCUGCUAGCUAAUGCUUGUCUGCAAUUUUCUAGAUUCAAACGACAGUUUAGGAUUUAGGUUGUUAGACAAAGUUAUCGAGAUCACGACAGUGGAUCGAUAAGCUUUUCUGUUUGAGUUCGAGACUUGUGUUACACUUGUGCCCUGAAUAGUCAUCUGGUUCUUAUCUCUGAAAUUUCUGCGAAUUGCUUUGGUCUAGUGCUUGUUUUAAUUUGAAUUUAAAUCGUUGUUUGCCAUUCUGUUUACUUUUUAGUUUUCGAAACAAACCAUCUUUCGUCUUAGCUUUAAUUCAAUCCUCACAAAUUCAUAGAGUAACACUGGUCCUCUGGAUUCCGAAUCUUUUAUAUUACAACUACAUCACUGUUCUAUUGCAGUAGAAACUAGGAGUAUAUCUAGUGAGAAUCAGAAAAGCACAAAAUAGCUUGAAACUUAGACAUACCCCCACACAAAAGCCAGAAAAUAACUUAAAACUUAGGCAAAAUGAUGGAAAUGUAUAUUGAUAUAUGUUGGUCAAGUCGCUCAUCACUGGAGAUUAUGUCAGCCACUUUUCUGCAUGCUACGACGUCCUCAACCAAUACGGAAUGAAGCUGAACCUGGCAAAAUGCACGUUCAGCAUCACUGUCGGAGAAUUUCUGAGGUACGUCGUAACUGAAAGAAGCAUCAAUGCAAACCCAAAAUUAUGUAGCUUAACUACACACUAAGCUUAGGACCAAUGCAAACUAAUUUGUAUAUUUGGCACAAAUUAUACACAUACAGUACUUAAUAUAUAGUACAUAUUCUUAUCAAAGUUUUGUCAACCAAAAAAAAAACAUUUACAGUAACCAAAGUUCAUUCAUUUAUUAUGAAAAGCAGAAAAUAGCUUGAAACAUAGACAUGCCCCCCCACCCCACCCCACAAAAACCAAACAUAUAACCAUAGAAACAUACUUAUAAUAUUAUUUCAGUUCGUAUCUUGAUUUCCUUCUUUAUAAACUCAUAAACGCACAGACAAACAUAAAACUCUUUACUAAUCUCAUUCUUUCUUGCACCACAUUUAAAUGGUGUUAUUUUUGUUAACAAAAUAUACGACAUAAGGGAAGAUUUCCUAGAUAUGUAAUACAUGGUAGGUAGGGUUAUGUCAGUUAAGUAUGUCAAAAAAAUAUCUCUAUUUCCAAUGAGAGAACUGGAUAUGCAUAUGUCUCUCACACAUAUAGAACAUUAUUCAAAUUUGCUAAUGAAAAAUCAUAUUAUCCAAAAAGAUAUACGUUGUUCAUUGUGAAAUUUAUCCCUAAAAAUAAAUAUUAUAUUUAGACUUUUCUAACAUUUCUGUUUUUAUUAUUGUCAUUCUGAUCAUCUGACCAACUUAAAAAAAAAGGACCUAAUUGACUAUAUAGAGAGAUUGAUUAUUUUUAGUGAGGGAAUGCUAAACUUCUUAUAAAAAGAGAAUAUGCAGAAAACUGCCUGAUUCAUCUUGUGAAUCAAACACGCCAAAUGUGACAUACGUUUUUAUCUCAUGUAGCAUAUGUUUUGAUGAUAAAAUUAAAUCCUGAAACUUGGAAAAAAAAAAAACACAUUUUUAAUGUCGUCAAAUAAGGAAACAGUCAAUAUCUCAAAAGUUCUCUUUUAAGUUUUAAGUAUCUUCGAAGCAAAAAUCAGAACAGAGCAUCUACGCUUCAAAGUCUUCCGGUAACAAUCUUGUCCAGAAAAUUUGAAUAAUAUUAUCUAAUUCAACAUAUUUCUUUCAUGUAAUAUUUCAAUAUAUUAUAAAAUAUUGACUCAGUAUUAGUAAUUUGCUAUUCUUGGAAAGCUGCCAAAAAAACUUUCAAGCAAAAAGAGAAGAAUGGAUUAAGACUGACUGAAUUCUUACAGUUGAUUACUUUCGCUGUUACAACUUACAAUAAGCAAGUGCCCAACUCAAUACUGUGUCUUGUUAGAACUACUUUUCGUUCACUGGCCCAUUCGAGGCGAUAAGAGAGAUCAAGAUGGUGUAUAAGCUGCUUUAGCCGCUCUGCGUGGCUUAUGUUCUUUGAGGUUUCCUGUUCGAAUCAUACCGAAAAGAAUAGAUAUCAGUUUACGACAGAGUUAAAGCCGCCAUAUAAAGUGAUUGCUGAGUUUUGGCGAUUAGAUGAUGAUGAUGAUAACAAUUAACUUACCUGAAGAGGAAGUUCUUGCUCAUGGCUUGUGAUGCUUGAGAUCACACUUGUCCGAGUUGAGUUCGAUGAAAAACCAUCCCAUGGAUGCAUAAAUAUCAGUUUUGUACAUUGAACAGGUGUGAGGCUUCGGCUUAGUUUCUCCCACCAAACAGAUCCUAGUGACCACCAUCUGAUCAUCAACCCGUUUUCUGAAAACGCAACCAACCCCUACCAUUGACAGAGAUUUUAUUCUUAGGAUCUCUACAUCAGUUUGCAGUAGUGAAAAAGUUGCAAUUUGUAUAAAUCAUGUAUACCUCUCCAUCUGGUGAAAAGCUGAGAGCUGAUAUAGCGGUUGUUACCGCAGAUUCUGAAGCUCCUCUGAGCAAAUUUGGAAGACCAGGAGGUCCACUCGCAUCCAAAACCCUUACUUUUGUCAUACUGCAAUUAGAAUCACACAAAACCACUAAGAAACCGAGAUAAAGGUGGGACAAAAACACCAAAGCAUGUAAGGUUUUGUACCUUUGCAUGUCAUAUAUGCGGAUACAUGCAUUGUUGAUCUCUGUGAUAGCAUCGCCAAUUGCUAAUCUUGUUGAUGAAUCAUUUAGGAUUACCAUUGGAAAUACACGCACAACUUCUCUCAGCGUAGCCAUUGAGGUUUGUACGCAAGUUUUACGCAUGACGGUGUUGCUUGGGUCCAUCGUUUGAAGAAUAAAGUUAACUACCUGCAAGCUUUUCCCAACUGUAAUUCAAAUCUCUCUACAGACAAACAUCAGAAAAAUCUCAACUCUCAUCGAAUGUAAAAUUAGAUGCAACGAACCUUGUCAAGAUGCAGCACCAGAUUUCUCGGAGAAGCACGGAUUAUUCUGAUGAGAGUUCUGAGAGAUACUACAUGAACAGGAGAGUCAGAAGCUGUGGACCAUAUUUGGCUCUCUAUUAUACUUAGAAACCCAAGGACAUCUGCUAUUGCUAAACUCGGAAGAAGAACUUCGACCAGAGUCUCCUUUAUAGACGAUGGUACAGCUUGAUGUGCCCCAACUGAGGAACUCACACACUCAAUCUGGAAAAAUAUGUCUGAAACUAUCCGAGGAAUAUCAGGUCCGAUCAACAGUUUCCAUGUAGUCUCCAUUCCUUCUGAGAGAAGCUCCGCAGCAGUAGAGCUGUAUUUCUCACUCAUGGCCAUAACCAGGUUCAACAAUUUGUGGACGACCAGCAUGGCUAGACCAGGUUUAACAAGGCUUGGAUACCAGAUUGAUAAGGCAGCCGCGACAAUGAUGUGAGCCGCCAUUGCGUCCUGACUUGUUCCACCAACGCAAGAAAUCCAGUCUUGCAUUUCAAAAGACUCAAGCCAGGAGAGUAGCUCCGACUCCUCUGCCUGAGAAAGCCGUUGAGCUUCAUGGUUAUGCUCAGAGUCCAAACUGUUUGUGGGCUGUUCUUCUUCUGAGCUAAGAGCUUUAGGUUCUUGCAUAUUGAUUCCAGAUAGGGAUCUCACCAAUUUUGCGUGUUCUGAUGCGUAAUCGCUGCAUAACGGAAGAGGUAUUGCCAAAGAAGCAGUGUGGUGGAAUAUAGACCGAGCAGCCAUACGGACUUGUUCACUUCUAUCUUGCCAGAAGGUUACUAAAAGCUACAAUAAAGACAAGACGCAAACAGAGAAAAUCUUAGCUCUGUUGUGAUUAUACCAUACUAUAUGCCUAUAUGGUGAAGAAUGAAGAACUCACCUGGAGUAACGGUGGCUUCAGAUCAGGAUAUCUCUCUGCCAGAUUCCGUGUGUAGAAUGCUGCCAAGGUGCUGUAAGAAAACGAAAAUUGUUUUGACAUUCGGAGUAAAAUAUGAAGGUGAAAAACCUUCGAAAGAAGAGAACUGGUUCCAAAGACCACAUGCUGUACCUGCUAGCUGUGGCAGUGGAAUGUGACAGACUUAUCAUGCACUGAGCAAGCGACACCAUCAUCAGUGACCUCAACGCAGAAAACUCCGAAGAUGAUUUCCAGAGCUGGAAUGUUCUAUGAACUCUUAGAAAAAGUAGGAUAUUGUUGAAAUAUGUGCGGUUGUGACAUCAAUAUAAGUCACUAGGAAUACCUCAAGUGUUGCAUUUAAACCCGGGAAUGCUAAUGUCAAUGACCCUUUGUCCCCCUGCAAACCGGAGGCUACAAUGAAACUCUCUGGUCUUUUUAGCUUUAGAUGUGCUAUUAGCAUUUGAUCGAGUUCAGAAUCUAUACCCCACAAAUGCAGAAAGGAUAAACUAAAUCGAAUUAGAUAUUCCCCAAUUGCCUUGUCCAUGUGAACAACUUCUGCAGGGUUAUCUACAGUCUUCUGGACAGGAGACUUGUUGUUUGAAGUCUUCUGUUGCGCGGUCGGCUUACCACUACUCUCUUCUGGUAUCUUAUGUAAUUCAGAGUCUUCAUGUGUUUGGCAAGAAACUGCUAAAGACGAAAGAUCGAAAAUCAGCGUAGAGAUUCCAGGGACCGGGCAAGCGCAUUUGAUGGGAGUGUAUCCGAUGCUUUGGAAAAAAGAUGAAACACUAGAACUCUCUUCUCCAGUCUGUUCCUGUGAAGCACUUGGCUUAGAUGUUGGCAAAAAGCCUGCUCUCUCGUAGUUCUUUAAAUAAAAUGGUUUCCUCUCUUCAUCUACUGGGAAAAGUAAAGAGGAAACUGAUGUAUUUCCAUUUAACACAGAGCCAGAUUGAGAUUUCGCACUAAUGCCAGCACAAAAAUGAUCAAACAUGGAAUGUGAAGCUGCCCCAUGGAGAACACGUUCUCGAACACCUGUCUUUACAUCCCAUAUGUACAAAACAUCAAUUGGAUCUGAUUUCCUAGAAAGGGAGCGGAAAAGACAUGCAAUGUAGCCUCUUGUACCAUCCCAAACGACUUUUUCAGGAUAGUUUGGGUGCCCAGGAAACAUCCUUUCGACCCGUAAUGUCUCAAGAGAAGAAAGAGCAACACAUGAAUCAUCCCCAACAGAUAGAAAGCAAUCGCUCCAUGGGUAUUCUGUUCGAGCGGGUGCAAGAAUGAUUUGGCGCACCGGAGAAACAUGUUGGUGCAUGAUCAUGACUACAUUGCCGCUCUCAAGAUCCCAGAUGCGGAUGGUGCAGUCCAUACUUCCAGAUAUCAAAACAUGAGAAGAACUACAUCCUUUUGCAGACCCAAGCAUUCGAUGCGCUGCUAAGCAUAGAACAGCUCCUGUAUGUCCCAAGAGAUGCUGCUUAGAGACAAGUGAAUCAGUGUCUGAUCUCGGGCUUGAAGCAGGUGAAUCAAGUCCAUGAAGAAAAUCAAACUUUGCAAUUUCUAUUUCACCGCUAAAGAAACCAUGGACAACAGCAUAUGGGACAUACAUGUUCUCUGAAAUAACCAUGGAAGCUGACACACACUGUCCACUGUCACUAACAAAGCUUCGUAGAUCAUUUUCGGUAGUGCAUUGACUUCCUAAAUGAGAAAUACCAGGUUCUACACCAAUCGAGCCCUUACGAUAUAAACAAGAGCUUGAAAUCCAAUCAGUAAAAUAUGAUCCUUCUCCAAGCAUUUUGCACUGAAGCUGGAGUUCUUUUUCAUCACCAUUUCCUAGGGAGAGUGACCAGACAGUUAUAUGGGGCCUCCACUGAAAAGGUUGUUCAAUAUCACAACAGCUAGACUCAACGCGAAGAAGAUACUGCCUCAACUGUACAAAACAAAACGAUGAUUUUUCUGAAUGCUGAUCAGAGGCAGUAACAAUCUCACCACGGUUCUUAUAUGUAAAUUCACCAUCUAUAUACGACAUAUCAAACAACACAGCAGAACCAUUUUCAUCCCAAAGCACAAAAGUUUCAGAAAUUAUAUCAUCUUUAUCACCUUCGGUAGCUGAUGUACUAGAGUAAACUAACACUGCUUCUUUGAAAUGAAAAUCGGAAGAAAACGAGUUGUCUACGAAAGAUAUCUCUCCUAUUGCCUCCCCUUGAUUCAACAACCAAAAGACACUCCUAUUCUUUGAGAAAAGAGCAACAAGAUUCCCUCGAGUUAUUACUGAUAUAGCUACUUCCCCGUUAUUUAACCAGUUUCUAGACACGACAGAGCCUUUGCUCGAUUCAGAUACAUCUUCACCCUUCUCAGAGUUCUCUGACACUGGAACCAAUUGCAGCCUACCAGAUGAAUCAGCCAUGAGCAAUGAUUCCUGUUCCUCCAACUGAACCACACACAUGAACUUUAAAUGGCCAAUAGAUAAAUUCCCAUGGAAAACUGUAUGAACAAUCGUAAGAGUAUAAGUGUCCACAACAACCACAGUGCAUCUCGACGGUUUUCUGUUCUGAAAAUCUGUAUCUGCUACAGCUUCAGCUCCAUCAACAGUAUCUAGAGAAUGGCUCUCAAUAUAAGAACACCCAACACAUACAUAUCUCGGUUCUGAUGGCAAAGUACACAAAAUCGACGGGCUUCCCACCCAAGGAGGUAACUUUCUUCGACGCCUACAAUGGCCACUGCUUCUGCUCCAUACGCACAGUACACCAUCAGUACAAGCACUGAUCAGUGCACUACAAUCAACAAAUGGGUCCGCAUUACAACUAUCUGAACAAUCUGAUGUAACUCCCUUUCCUGAAACUGUGGUGGGAUCACAAACAGCGAGAUCUGCUAUAGGUGCAGCAUGGCCACACAACAUAGCAAUCGGCUUAACUUCCUGAUAGAUAAAAAAAAAGCCUAAUUGAGAUGAGAAAGCAAACAAAAGAUUACCAAAGAGAAUUUGAGCUUGAUGCAUCUGAGUUAUCCUCAUUAUGAGUGUUAUACUAGAUCAUCUUAAGCAAAACAAUAAUGUAUAACAAUGUGCUAAGAGAUCAGCUCGGAAGAGAAACUUGAUUUGAUUCGAUCGUAAAUCAAAGUUUAACCAAGACCAUAAACAUUCAGAAAACGAUUGAUUGAGCAAGCAUGAGGCGAGACGAGUUACCGAAUUGGACUCGGACGAAGAGAUACUCCACCAGAUGAUAGACCCAUCGGAUCCGCCGGUGUAAAGAGUCGGGGGAUUGGUCAGAGCGGCUGUGGCGGUGACUCGAUGAGAUGGAGGCGCUCGAGACCAUAGGCACGCGACGGAUCGGCACUUCAUCGGCCGAGUUUAGUGCUGACCGGCCCGAAUCACGCGAUACAAAGCACCCAACUGAGUCAGUGAGCGAGUCAGGGUGAAGGAAGAACAAGAAGACGGAAUUGUGACGACGUUUGUAGUGAUCACGGCAGAGUAACGGCCGUUUGUAAAGAGCUCAACUUUUUUUGGUUUGUACUGUAGUACUUGGUACAGACGCAAAUUACAUGACGUUUAUUCCUUAUAGGCAUGAAUAAAUUGAUUUUCUCUAACGUUUGCAAACGCGGUUUCACGAUUUGUACACUAUGAUCACAAAAAAGGUUUUACUUACAUCACACUUUUUAAACCAAAAUAUUCUCUUUUUUGUGAUUAAAGAAUAUACUAUUAACACAAAACCAUUUUUGAAAUAUGUGUUGAGACACCACUUAAAUUGAACAUGUUCUAGAUGUAUAAAACUUCUGACCAAACAUUUAUUAAAUAUAUUUUUCUACGACAAAUCAAAUAUAUUAAUAUAUUUAUAAGAUACAGUAACAUUUUCAAUAGAACCAUUAACGCAAAUAAAAGAAAUUAAAACAAUUUCGAUGAAAAGAUAAAGAAUAAUCAUGCUAUCUUUUCGUAAUCUUAUAAGCUAACACACAAAAUCUGUUAUGUCCCCCCUUUUAUACACUUUUUAUCAGCUAUUAUCUUGCUGAUAAAACUCCAAAAUGCACUUGACAUUACUUUGAUUAAUAAGAUAAAACUAAAUAUUGUUGGUGAUGAAUCUGGAACAUGUCUUCUAAAACUCGAUAAGAUAUGCAAUAUCCGCCUGCAAAUACCCAACCUGAUCAUGCAAAAAAGAUUUCAAUCCGAAAUUCACCUAUGCAUACCGGUUUGACCAAUACCCAUCAAAUCUUCAAACAUCAUCUUUUUCUCCAAUUUGUUAUAAAGCUCUAGCAAUAGUUCCAUCUAUGGCUUCUAGAUUUCUUCCCAGACUACUUUUCACAGUCAAUGUUCUUUCUACAAUGAAUAUUCAUGGAUCCCAAAACUGGAUAUGAAAUUGCUCUCUCGAUUUGGAUAGUCCAAAUUCAGAAAAUUUUGAACUUUUCAAAUGUAUGGGUAAACAUAACCAGAUUAUACGGUGGAGAGAUAAAGUUUCAAAGAUGAAGGGAUAUACUUGUUGAAGAAAACUACAACCGCAUGGAGAAAUUCCCACGGAAUGAAACCGGCAAUAUUGAUCUUGGACUUUUGCCGGAUUACGGCCGGAACAGCACUCUCUCGAAGAAGAGAGUUACUGAGAAGAACAUCUUGGAGAUGAAUUAUCAGAGAGAACCACAAACGAAUCAGAUGCAUUGAUGGAUCUCAGAUGGGUUUGUGUCGACGAGGCGAUAGAAUUGACAUAAUCGACUUUAUAUGAAUAAACUAAGGAAAGCAAACCGCGUCGGAGAAACCAACGCCAGCCAGAAACAAUGGAGAAAUGGAGAAUGGUCGCUUUUGGUAGAGAAGUUGAAAUAGCCUUGAGAAAAUUACGGUUACGUCUUUCGAUAAAAUAUAUUUACAUUUAUUAAAUAUAUUAUAAACUUAAAAUUACAAAUUAAACAUACAUAAAUCAAUAACACUUAAAUUAGCUCUUAUACCUCAUUUCAUAUUUGAUAUAUUACAAAAUAUAAUUUAUAAAAAAACUUUAGAAACAUAAUGAAUAUUAACUUUUAACCUAUCUUUUAUCUAUAAAUACAAGUAUACCUAUCUUUUAAUUACCUUUAAAUACUAGUAUUUAUAGACCUUCAACCCCCAUAAAAUUUAUUCUUUAUCAUGUGUUAAACAUUGAUGAUCAUCACACCAAUGUUUUAUCCAUUGUAGAGGCAAUGCACUUUUUUGUUUCAUCAAGUGGAAUCAAAGCAAUUUACUUGCCAGUCACAAAUUCAUUGAAAAUGGAGUUAAAUUUGGAUCAUUUACUUCAUCAAAAGUUCAAAACUAACCACACACUCUAUGUACUACAUGUUUAAGAAAGCUUCCCUUAUCUCGUAUACUUUUUAACAAAAAUAACACUCUUAUAAUGUGGUGCAAAAAAGAAUGUGGUGCAAGAAGAGCUGAAAUGAUAUUAUUAGUAGGAUUUUGUGGCUGUAUGUUUAGCUUUUGUAUGGAUAUGUAUAUGUUUCAAGUUAUAUUCUGCUUUCCACUAUGAGUAAAUGAUCUUUGGUGAAUGUAUUGUUUUUUCUUUCUUGUCCACAUAACUUUGUAUGAAUAUAUGUUUAUAAUUAUGUGCAUAACUUGUGUCAAACAAUCAAAUAAAUUUAUGUUGGUUGAAAGCUUGGUGUGUGUUAUGUUAUAUUGUAUGAAUCAAUAAACUAGCUAAUCUUCUAAACAUCUUACUAUGUUGCUUGUAUAUAGCAUUAGUCAAAUAUUUUUACAUGGACUGAAGAUUUUCAUAUCAUCGACAUAUAUUUCAUUGGGCUUAUUCUCAUCGAGCAUCCUGAAGCAAUUGAGCCCACCAUUGAAGAGCAUCUCAAUCCAAUCGAGUCUACUGCAUGUAGAAGAUUUGCAAGAGGUUGAGUUCUAAAAUGUUCAAGAUCGCAGAAAAAGUCAUUAAACCUAAGAUGAAAUCCUCACCCAAACGCCACCAAACAAAUCCCCCAUCCAAAUGCCGUCGAACCAGUUCUCUCAUGUAGACGUUGUCGAACAAUUCUCAAUGUCACCAAACAGUUCCUCAACAGUGCGAGUUUUCCACUACAGAUAGAACAGUCCGCUGAAGAAUUCCCAAGUUACUGCAUCUUGUUGCUGAAAAUGAUGAGAUGAAGUAGAUUUUGACUACAAAAACCUUAAGAAAAUAUUUUGUUUGGAUUAAUUGUAAAGUUUUUUUUUUACAUUGUAAUUUUUUUUUACAUAUCAUUCUCCAUUAAAUCAAAAUUGAUAAUUAUCUUCUAAUUUUUUCAUGAAACUCUUUUUAGAAAAAAUUAUAAAGUAUCAAAUCAAUAAGUUUGAAAUUUUGAAAUAAAAUAUUAAUCUUUUGGAACAAAAUAGAAAACAAAAAAACUUGAAUAAUUUUAUAAAAAUAUAUAGUUAUAAGUGAAACAUAUAUAUGGUAUAAAUUAUUAACAUAUAUCAUAAUCUAAUAAAGUGUUGACACAUAUCACAUUUAUACAAAUUAGAUUAGGUUCCGCGUGAUAAGCAAAAACAUUAUAAGAUAUUCAUAAUUUAAAAUUAAUAAUUCGUAUAAUUAUGCUCUUUAUAUUAGAUUAUAAAUUAAAAACGUGUUAUGUUAUCCACAAAUAAUAUUUUAUAAUUACAGUUUAGAAAUUAAUUCAUAUUAUUAAUAAUUUGUCUAAAUAAAUAUGAUAAGGUUCCAAAAACAUAAUUACCAUUAUAUUGUAGUUUUAGUAUUUUGUUCUUAUUUUAUUUUUUCUAUUUUAGUAAUUUUCAUUUGAAUAAGCAUAAUUUAUUUUUAAAUAAAUAAAUAAUAAGAAAUUUAUAUUUCUACAUUGACAACACGAUAAAAAUUAACAAUAACACAUGUUACGAUUUGAUGAGUUAUAAUUAUUUUGUGUGCCAGUUGCCACAUUCACAUUGAAAUAUUUAAUAUUAUAUAAUGAGAAGAUUGUAAGAAAAUAUCAUAUAUCAAAUUAUGAAUAGAUCUUAUCUUAUUAUAUCAAGUUGAUUAUGUUCAAUGUGAGUAUUACACAUAAAACAAUUAUAAAUUCGAAAAUAGUAAUAUAUAUUAUUAUUAAUUUAGAUCAUGACAUGUAUUAAUAUAAUAAUAUAAAUUUAAUAAAUAAUAAAAUAAGAAAAAACUGUGUUUUAAAAAAUGAAAACUAAUAAAAUCGAAAAAACUAAAAUAUGAGAAUAAAAAAAAAUACAAAUAGAAAAAAUAAAAAAAUAUAAAUUAUUAAAUCUAAGUAACAUUCAUUAAGAAAACAUAACAAUGAAUCAAUUAAAUGAUAAUAUAUCUGAUAAUCAAAUUUCAAAUCUUAUAUAGCUUAAAGCUGAUUUUAACUAUAAAAUCAAUAUUUCUUAAUUUGGUAUAUUAUGAAUCAUAUGGAUUUAAUAAGUUAUAUUUUUUAAUUCAUUUUUUUAAUUAUUUUAAUUUUAUUAGUUUUUAAUUUAUUUAUAAAACAAUCUUCCUUUUCUUUUUUUAUUAUUUGGAAAGUUUUUAUUAUUAUAUUGACUCAAAUCAUAAUCUAAAUUAGUGAUGAUAUAUUGUCAUGAUUAUAUUUAUCCUAUUUAUGAAUAGUAUUAUCACGAUAAGACGUUAGAUUUUAUAUGAUAAAAUAAAUAUUAUUUAGAAAUAACAAUUAUUGAAUCUUUACUAAUAAUUUUUUUGCAACUAGUAUUUGUUGAAAUCUGGAUAAUGGAAGAUUUCUUUUUUUUCUUUUUUCUUAUUUCUCUGUUAAAUAACCUAAUAAAGGAUUAAAAGCGUUCUAACUCGAAGGCAAGGCUCAAAAAACAAAAAAUCCAGGAUCGGUCUCUUUCUCUAUAAUCCGUCUUCUUCCUCCCUUCGUAUACUCAAAUCCGGAAAAGAAUCCAUUCAAUGGCGAAGGAAUUGGCGGAGAAAGCUAAAGAGGCUUUCUUAGAUGACGACUUCGAUGUCGCUGUUGACUUAUACUCGAAAGCCAUUGACUUAGAUCCCAAUUGCGCCGCCUUCUUCGCCGAUCGUGCUCAGGCCAACAUCAAAAUCGAUAACUUCACUGGUAUUCUCUUCGUUUCCUAAAAUCACCCAUAAAUCUCGUAAAUUAAUUAGACGGAUUCUUCUUCGUGAGUUCUGGGGGUUUUUGUCUUCUCGUUCGUAAUUCGAUCUUUUACAGAGGAACCUGAUUUUGCAUAUGGGGUUUAGAUUAGUGUUAGGGUUCUUUUGCGAGUUUUUGAGUAAUUUUAACUUUUUAUGCUUCAUGUCACAAUCUUUACUCGUAAUCUGUCCCUGUAGCUACUUGAUUCCUGUUCAAUAACCUUAUUGGAUUUUGCUUCUUUGUAGUGAGUAAAAAUUUGAACUUUUUUUAAAAAUAAGUGACCAGGAAUAGCUUAGCAUCAGUUUAUAGGUUAAAUUUUUGUGUUCCUUAGCAAAGAAUCCACGCAUCUUCUUCACUAAUUUUAAUAUUUUAUCUUUUGUGGUUCUCCAUGGACAGACGCUGUUGCAGAUGCGAACAAAGCCAUCGACUUGGAACCUACGUUGGCAAAAGCGUACCUCAGAAAGGGGUAUGAUACUAUCAUCAGCCCUCUGUAUCAAGUUUAAUGACGAUUUGUUUAUAUACUUAAACUUGAUUGGAUUCAUUUCUAAUUCUACGCUGUAUUUGCAGCACUGCUUGUAUGAAGCUAGAAGAAUACAGUACUGCCAAAGCAGCCCUAGAAAAGGGCGCAUCCGUUGCACCAAAUGAAUCGAAAUUUAAGAAGAUGAUCGAUGAAUGCAAUCUUCGCAUUGCAGGUAUUACAUAAACUACUAAACAAUUCUCAAUAUUUGUCUGCACCUAGGCUUAGGUUUUUGAUAUGGUCUCUUUAUCUCUGUUCAGAAGAAGAGAAAGAUUUGGCUCCAUCGAUGCCAACAACUUUGCCUUCAAGCUCUACAACACCACUAGCAACGGCAGCUGAUGUUCCUCCUGUUCCAGUUCCUGCUGCACCUGCCAAACCGAUGUUUAGGUAGUCUAGUUAUCAAAAGUGUUCGUUCCUUUUUAAUUUCUCGAAUCACUAUAUAUUCUCAAACUUGAUGGUUAAACAGACACGAGUUCUACCAGAAGCCAGAAGAAGUUGUAGUGACAAUUUUCGCUAAAGGAAUACCAAAGGAAAACGUAACUAUCGACUUUGGUGACCAGAUUGUGAGUAUCCUGUAUUCACAUGAAUGCAUGUUUUUUUUAACUGAAUCUAACUCGCUUUGUAGUCUGACAUUGUGUACUGAUUUGAGAUAUCUAUCUGGGCUUUUUGUACAGCUGAGUGUUGUGAUUGAUGUUGCUGGAGAGGAAGCUUAUCAUUUUCAGCCAAGAUUGUUUGGGAAGGUAUAUUCGAGUAAUGAAAUUGUGGUGCUUUAAUACAUUCUUUGACUAAAUCAUUUUCUGUGGUUCUUUAUAUAGAUAAUACCAGAGAAGUGCAGAUUUGAAGUAUUGGCAACCAAAGUUGAGAUCCGUCUCGCAAAAGCAGAGAUAAUCACUUGGGCCUCCCUUGAAUUUGGCAAAGGACAAGCUGUUCUGCCUAAACCCAAUGUCGCAUCAGGUUUUGCCCUGAAACCCUUUUGCUUCAGUUCACCUCAGAAGUUACAGUAUAAUUGAUUUUAUCUGUUCCAAACCGCAAUUGUAAAACCUUAAACAACUGAAGCCAGGCGGUCUCUUCUCAUGUAACUUUAUGUUCAUAUGCAGCGGUUUCGCAGAGGCCCGUGUAUCCUUCUUCAAAGCCGGGAAAAGACUGGGACAAGCUGGAAGCUGAAGUGAAGAAACAGGUUCGUCUUGUAACUUUAGAGGCUUUGCUUUACCUUUACUUUAUUAUUUUUCUGCUUAUCUCUUUCGAAUACGCAGGAGAAGGAUGAGAAGCUAGAUGGAGAUGCAGCAAUGAACAAGUUUUUCAGCGAUAUUUACCAGAGUGCAGAUGAGGACAUGAGGCGAGCCAUGAACAAAUCAUUUGUGAGCUAAUCCAGUCUCUCUUUUGGUCGUCAUUUUGGUUUGACAUGGUUUCCUUUGUCCUUUUGACUGAUGAUAUAUACCUUCUUGGGUGCUUUUCGGUUUAACAGGCAGAGUCGAACGGGACGGUACUGUCUACAAACUGGAAAGAGGUUGGGACUAAGAAAGUGGAGAGCACUCCACCAGAUGGUAUGGAGCUCAAGAAGUGGGAGUAUUGAUCUUUCAAAUCAUGUUUUCUUGUUUUUGUUAAAAAUUCUGACAAAUCUAAGAACGAAAGUUUCUUUUGGGUUUUGCUUGAAUUUGGCUCUCUCAUCCUUGCGUUGUGGUCUUAAAGAACGGUCUGAUACUUUUGAUUUUGUAAUAGAAAAACCUCGCAAGUUUAUGUUUUGUUCUUUUUCUUUUUUCUUUCUCGAGGCCUUUCAUGAUAUUCUAACGUUGUGAUCUAAGGCUAGAUGUAUAAAGUAUAAACCCUUCAGUUGAAAAUUGCUAUGAAACAUGUUCCACAAAUCAAUCUUACAAAACAAUCUAAUAAAACAAAAUCUUGGCUAUAAUAAAACAACCUAACAAAACAAACUGUUGCCUCGAUCACGUACAUUGACUUUUAAAAAAAAUCGAACCCAUCGGCUUCACUCUUUUCUUGAUUCCAUAAUUGAAAUGAUGGACUUAACCACCUUUUCCACCCUGCAAAAAAAAUUAACAUAUCAACCUUAAGUUGACUUAUCUAUAUUGCCAAAACUGAUAAGCCGAUGAUGCAAUUUUAUAUAUGAGGGAGAUAGUAUUUCACCUUAUGAGGUGGGGUUCCUGGUCUGUGAACAUUGUUGUUGAAUCCAAAUCUUCCUUUCUUCUCAGUUGACUUGAGGAUUUGGAAUGAACAUGUCAAGCUAUCAUCAACACUCAUCAUUGCGCCAGCAUUGUCAAACUCACCACAGUAAUUGGGUGCAGAGAAUAUUGUCACCAGUUGUCUCUUUGCAAAGAACUCAUAUCCAUCUUCUACAACCUGCGAAAUCAGUUAGCGACGAAUUGAAUUAAGUGAAAAACUACAGCCCUCUGUUUGACUACCUAGGAAUAUACACACGUCUUAAUAUUAGCACUUAUAUCAUAAAUGUAAUAUGGUUUAUGCUUUUUCUUUACUUUCUGAAUAUAAAGUCACAGAUAAGAACAAAAAAUUAAAGAUAGAAAGCCUAGGGGUGAAUUCCAAAGUCGAACAACUCCCCCAAUAUUCUCCUAUCACCUUAUGAUCAUGAGCCUUUUCUAUUCAUACUCAGUGACUAACUAGCUGAUGCUGCAUUGUUGAUGGACACUUAUCUUAAUGGCACCAAACAGACUAUAACCAUUUCAAUAAUCUAACCCCGUUUUUGCAAGAUACACUAGCUAGUGUGGUUUAGCUUUACCUGAUGAGCCCGGCAUACAAGAUCAAGGUCAUGAGUUUGAAGGAACUCAGCAACUUUGUCGGGCCCAAAUGUAUAUGAGACACCUCUGUCAUUCUCCCCCCACCCUGUAAUAUCUCUGUCAGGAUCAGCCCAUAACAAAUCACAAAGAACGCCCUGAUCAGGAACAUCAAUAGGACGAGGAAUCCGCCUUAUAUCAUCCAAGCUCUUCAGAUCAGGCGAUAGACCACCAUGCAUACAGAGGAUCUUGUCGUCAAUGAGAGCAGCAACAGGCAGACAGUUGAAACAGUCAGUGAAACUCUUCCACAGGCGCACGUUAUAUCUUCUUUUGCAUUCAUCGUAGAACCCGUAUACACGGUUGAUUGAAGCACAUUCGUGAUUGCCUCUGAGAAGAAAGAAGUUGAGCUUGUAUUUGAUCUUGUAGGCAAGAAGAAGGCAUAUGGUCUCUAUGCUCUGCUUACCACGAUCAACAUAGUCCCCGAGGAACAAGUAAUUUGCAGCUGGAGGAUACCCACCAUAUUCAAACAACCGCAAGAGGUCUGGAAACUGACCAUGAACAUCACCUGCUCAUCAACAUAAAGAUUUGAAAUCGUCAACAAUAAUUAUAUAUCAAACAGUUCUGAUAGCAGCAGAGAGGGUUUAUUGUAAGCACAGUGGAAAGUGCAGGGGGAUACAAUUAUCAUACUCCAAAUUCAUCAACUAGUAAACAAAAUCAUUAGCUAUCAAAUGAAGCUUUUUUCGUGUAAUAUGUCAGGCUAGAAUCCAAUCUCAGGUUAUGCAUCAGAGCUAAGGAACAUGGUUUCUCAGAGACUCACAAGUAACUUAUUCGCUACUAAAAAAAAAACUCUACUUGAAGUUACAAAGCAAUUAAGUAACUCGCAACAUACCUAUUUCAAAUCUAUUCAAUGUAAGCGUAUAGCUCAAAACAAAGCUUAACUCCCCAAAGACAUACUUACAAAGCUAAACAUUUGUCAAAAAUAAAAGACACAACAGAAGAAGAAAGAGUAUGCAAGAUAAUACGAGUAAGCAGAGAAAGACAAGGAAAGAUUAAAAAAGAUUGUAUCUUCGUUGAGUAGUAUUACCGCAAAUUUUGAUAGGAGCCUCGAGCUCGAGGAGAUUAGGCUGGCUGAGAAAAACCUCUUUCGAAGCCGAACAUAGCUGCCGUAUCUCCACCUCAAGUAGCUUUACCUGCUUCACCGUCCUCCCAUGAUUAGGCUCCAAAAGCCGCCGUAUUAUAUCGUCCAGUAAACUCUCGUCCAUCGUAGCAAUAAGCCAAAAACCCAAAACCCCUUUCAAUCUCUCUUUCUCACACACACGCACAAAAUAGAAAUCAAGAGAAACCUAUAAUUUGAAAACUUCUCGCCUGCCGAAUCCAGAGAAAUACGACGAUUUUUUUACCGCCGGCGUCUCUGGGUUCGUAUCGUUGACGGAGAAGAUACAAAGAGGGUUAUGUAGGUAAAGCGGAGAAGAGACCCAAUUUCCUAAACCCUAGAACUUUUUUUUUAAACACAAAAAUUUCAUCAUCCAAACUCAGAGGAGCGUAGAAGUGGGCCCUAGCUAGUUCCCGCACGUGGCAAGUCCUCCUACGCACGUGCGAUCCGUUGAUUAUUCUGUCCGUUUGACGCAUUUUAAGAAUUUACACUGACAGGUCCCUAGAGUAUUUUCUUUUUAGUUAAAUCGCCCUCCGAAUCCAAAAAACAAUAUUCAAAAGUCGUAUUUAUUCGCUCCUCUCCCUCCCUUUCUCGUGUGUCUUCUCCUCCAACAGAUUUGAAAUGUCAAUGUCAUUUCCUGACCAGACUCACGACGAUCGGUGGGGCUCCGAUUUGGAUUCCGCCGGAGAAUUCACCCAUAGCUUUCCAUCCUUGCCGGCGACUUACUCACCCGCCUCCGGCGAGGAGCUCCUGGAAGUGACGAUUGAAUACCCGACCGGCCGGCUAGUAAACAUCAACUCCGUUACCGGAACCGGUUCAGAUCCAGAGAUUACCUCUAGCUCGAUUUCCGAUUCAGGAUCAACGUCUCGUAGCUUAGGAUGGAGCGCGUCGUCGGAGCGCCAGGUGGUGGCUAACGCGAAACAGUUCUCGAGAGUUCUGAAACAGAAGCUUCAGAGGAUCUCACGGCGAGAUGGCGGAGGAUAUUCGUCUCGAUCCGCACCGGAGAUGGUGGUUCCUCACGGAGACAAAAUCACCGAUCCGGCUAUUCUCUGUCGCUCCUUGACUCAGAGACUCACCAAGUCUCAUCGGAAUGGAUCGUGUACGCAGAGAGCGAUUCACGGUUUGAGAUUCAUCAGCAGCAAAGAAAACGGAAUCGCUGGAUGGAGAGAAGUUCAAAGCAAAUUCGCUAACCUUUCUAAAGACGGUCAUCUUUCCCGAUGUGAUUUUGCUCAUUGCAUAGGUUAGACAUGAUUUCGCGUUUUUGUCAAAUUGAAAUUUUUUUUUUUAUUCUCAGAGAAUCGAUGGAGAGAUUGUGAAAUUUGGUUGAUAUGUGUUGAAAGGGAUGGAAAAUAAAAACUCGAAAGAGUUUGCAGAGGAGUUGUUCGACGCAUUGUGCAGGAGAAGAAGAUUAAUGGUCGACAAGAUUAGCCUUCAAGAACUAUACGAGUUUUGGUACCAAAUUACAGACGAAAGCUUCGAUUCUCGGCUUCAAAUCUUCUUCAACAUGUAUUUCAUUUCUAUCAUCAAUCGAAUCUGUUUAACAUACUGAGUAAAUUUCUUCAACAUUAACUUGAUUUUUUUUAAUACUGUGCAGGGUGAACAAAAAUGGAGAUGGUAGAAUCACAGAAAACGAAGUAAAAGAGGUGACUUAUAUUUUCUUCUUUCGGUUUUAGAGGUGACUUAUGUUCUAUCUUCCUUAUUUAGUAUCAAAUCAUAAAUCGUUGACUGCGAUUUACAUCCAAGCGUAAGCAAAACCUACGGCCUUAGGUUUUAUAUAUAAUGAAUCUUACAUGUGUGCCAUUAUCCCUCCAUCAGUUGAAUAUCUUUCUAUAUUUGUAUGACCAUGUUGCUGAUAUUUUAGAGCAAAAUGUUAUUUUUUUUUGGUUGGUCUUGAUAUGAUUCUAUUCCAUGUCUCCUGUCUAACCAAUGCAAGAAUAGAAGACUUAAUUAAGUUGCAUUUUUUUUUCUACAUAAAGUUUGAUUGACCUUGUAACAGCUUUCUUAAUUAGAAGAAGGGUUCUUAACUGACUAACUACCACUCCAUAUAUUAUUUCCUACAACCACUAAGUUUACGUUGAAUCUUUCUAGUAGAAGAUUCUUCUUGGCAUUAACAAUUUGUAUGAAUUUCCUUGAUUUUGACAACCUUAUAGAUAAUUAUACUAAGUGCAUCGGCAAAUAAUCUAUCAAGGUUGAGAGAGCGAGCAGAAGAAUAUGCAGCACUGAUCAUGGAAGAACUGUCCCCUGAUGGGAUCCACUCUCAGUACAUAGAGGUGCUUCCAUUACUUUCAUCUCACAUUUUGUGAAAGUUCAUAACACAAAACAUGCUUAAAUAAUAAAGACCCCUUCAAAAAAAAAAAAAAAAGACCAUAAAGUUAUUGAUUUAGUGUAGAAGGGUUCCUUGUCGGUUUGACCAUAGUAAUUGAUGACGCUGAGAUCUUACCUUUCAAGUUCUCUGAUAGGGACUUUUGACUGGGUCAAGAAACCAAUGAGCUUAAAGCUAAGUGCUAUGCAAGUUUGUUUUUGUAUGGAAUUAAUAGAAUAAAAUUUUGACGAAGACAAACGUCCACAAAUAGAGCUGUAACUGAUUAUCAAAACCAAUCUUAACUGGUACAGUGUCGUUUUCGGGUAUCAUUAGGAGUUCAGAUAAAUUUAGAGUUAAAAUAUUGUUCGAGAGCCUGUCUACUUGUUUGAACCUUUUUUUACCUGUUUGAGACCUACACAAGGUUGGUAGUAAAUAACUAUUUCACUUCAAGUGUCAGUCCAAGGAACUCUGUUUAACAUUCUAAUAUGAUGUCUUUGUUGUGGAUUUAAAAUGAUGCAGUUAAAGGAUCUAGAGAUGCUACUACUACAGAAAGACACACCGCAUAGUUACAGCCAACCUUACAGCCAAACAAGCCGAGCCUUGAGCCAAAAUCUAAAGGAUACAAGAUGGGGAAUUAGCAGGAACUUGCUUUACUCUUUGCAAGACAGUUGGAAGAGGAUUUGGGUUUUGACAUUGUGGUUAAUGAUCAUGACGGGGUUGUUUAUGUGGAAAUGCGCACAGUACAAACGCAAAGACGCAUUCCAUGUUAUGGGUUAUUGCCUUGUCGCGGCAAAAGGUGCAGCUGAGACACUAAAAUUCAACAUGGCUCUUAUCCUUUUGCCCGUCUGCAGAAAUACUAUCACCUACCUCAGAUCCACCGCUUUGUCCUACUCAGUGCCUUUCGACGACAGUAUCAACUUUCACAAGGUUAAGUAAAAACACAUUUUGUCCUGCCUUUCAUAUGUGAGAGAGAUUAUGCUUCUUCAUCUGAAUCCUACUGUUUUGGUAUUUGGUUAUACGCAGAUGAUCUCAGUAGCAAUCAUUAUUGCAAUGGUUCUUCAUGCAGCCAGCCACCUCGCUUGUGACUUCCCAAGGAUUCUAUCAUCUACAGAGGCUGAUUACAAAAGAUACUUGGUUCAUUACUUUGGUGUGACCAAACCCACAUACUUAGACUUGGUUAAAAAUCCUGUUGGAAUCACUGGAUUUAUAAUGGUUACUUUUAUGAUAAUUGCAUUCACAUUAGCCAGUCGAAGAUGCAGGCGGAACAUAACUAAGCUGCCAAAGCCUUUUGACAAGCUAACCGGGUUUAAUGCUUUCUGGUAUUCUCAUCACUUACUUCUAGCUGUUUACGUCCUGUUAAUUAUCCACGGUGUUUUCCUCUAUCUCGAGGAGAAAUGGUACCGCAAGACGGUAAAUUCCAUAGAACUCUUUACCAUUUUUACUUCUUACAUUUUUUUAGAUAAUCGGUGGUAAUAACAGAUGCGGCCUCCUGCAGAUAUGGAUGUAUCUUGCGGUGCCGGUUUUACUCUAUGCUGGGGAAAGGAUCCUGAGAUUCUUUCGUUGCAGGCUUUACACUGUCGACAUCUGCAAGGUAAAGUCUCGUUUACAGUUACAUAUUGAACAGAAUCACAUGAAUAGACACAUUGUAAAUCAUCUAAUUUCUUUAUACCAACUCAAAUGAUCUGGUUUCAGAUUGUUAUAUAUCCUGGAAAUGUUGUUGUGCUACACAUGUCUAAGCCUACAUCAUUUGAUUACAAGAGUGGACAAUAUAUAUUUGUUCAGUGUCCUGCAGUAUCCAAAUUUGAGUGGUGAGUCUUUUUUUUUUUCCCAAGCCAUUAGCUCUGCUUGCGAUCUAAGAGUAUAUACAAACUAUGUUCUUUACUUAGAGCUUCUCGGUCUUAAAAUCCAUCUCCAGGCAUCCAUUUUCUAUCACUUCUUCACCUGGAGAUGAUUAUCUCAGCAUUCACAUUCGACAGCUCGGUGAUUGGACAGAAGGAAUUAAGAAAGUAUUUUCAGUGGUAUGUGAAGCCCCUGAAGCUGGAAAAAGCGGACUGCUCAGAGCAGACGGACCAAACAAAACAAGGUGCAUUAAAACUUUGAAUUCUGUAUAUUUAUUAUAGACCUGUAUUCUCAGAAUUUUUUGUCAAGGCACCAUUUGUGAAUAUGGUAUCCUCUCUUGUAAUUUAGUGUGCCAGAGCUAUUGAUCGAUGGACCUUAUGGUGCUCCCGCGCAAGACCAUUUGAAGUAUGAUGUGUUGUUACUCGUUGGCCUUGGAAUCGGCGCAACACCUUUCAUUAGCAUUUUGAGAGAUCUACUUAACAACAUCGUUAAGCAACAAGAACAAGCCGUGAGUAUGAAAUUAAGUAAACCUUUUUGAGGAUUAACAGAAUCUUAACUAACUUUUUCUCCCGAGUUAUGUUAUAUUUUUAGGAAUGCCUCUCAGGUAGUUGUAGUAACAGCAACAUCUCGUCGGAUCAUAGUUUCAGUUGCUUAAACUCUCAAGCUGGGAAUAGAACUCCCCAAAACCGAAGGAGGACGUUGAAGACCAAGAACGCUUACUUUUACUGGGUAACUCGGGAACAAGGCUCGUUCGAUUGGUUUAGAGAAAUCAUGAACGAGAUUGCUGAUUCCGAUAUAAAGGUAAGAUACAGUUAUUCAACUCAAACCUCGAACGUGGAUGUAAAUGCAAACGUAGAUAUUGUGUUUGAAACAAUUGAGAUCUGAAAACUUCCAAAAGCUUAGAUAUUUUCAAGUCCACUACUAACAUAACUGUCUUGUAAACAAAUAAAAGGGUGUUAUUGAAAUGCACAACUACUUGACGAGUGUCUACGACGAAGGUGAUGCUCGAUCCACUCUUCUCACCAUGAUCCAGACGCUGAACCACGCCAAAAAUGGUGUCGACAUAUUCUCUGGAACCAAGGCAAUGAUCUUUAACGAUUACUUUUUAUCUUUUAUUAACAACACUCAGGUUUCUUAUGUUGUCUGCAACUUUUUGGUUUUAGGUACGGACGCAUUUUGGGAGACCAAAAUGGAAGAAGGUUUUAUCAAAGAUUAGCACCAAGCAUAAGAACACAAGAAUUGGUACACAAGAAUAAAAUAUAUAUUCAGCUCACAGAAUUAAGAAUUGAUUUUGGUCCGUAUUUGCCUUAUGUUAAGAAUGUUUUGAUUGGAACAGGAGUGUUUUAUUGUGGAGGACCGAGUUUAGGGAAGGAACUCUCCACACUCUGUCAUGAAUUUAACCAAACCGGAUGUUCCAGGUUCGAGUUCCACAAAGAACAAUUCUAAAGGUAAAUACAACUAUGGUUUUUGAAUGAACCAAAUCAAUUAUAACGGUAUAUAUGUACUAUCAAAUGAAAUCUCAGCUUUGAUUGUUGGAGAUUUAGUUCUAUAAUGGGAUAAAGAGAUGAUAUUUUGCAACAUCAUUCAGGAGAGAUAAAAUUUGCAGCUUUAAGUUUCUACAAUUAUUUUGCUCCGCUAAUUUCCUUAGAUUUUUUAGACUAGUUUUCUUCAUUCUUAAUCCUUAUUACACAAAUAAUUUGUUUUUCCUAGCUUAACCCGCCCUCUGUUGAGAAACCUGAUACCACCUCGUCGACGCUUACGGGUUUGCCACCAAUGCGUUUUCCUGCCAUGGCUCUGCAACUUGUGCUUUUGUUUCUUUGAUUGUCUUCUAUGUCUCAUCAAACCCUCCACUAGCGCAUGAAAUUGCCCGCCUCUGUUCUUUUGUGUAGUCAGACCUCUGGAUUCUGAUUUUCUUCGUCUCUCGACUGAUUUCUCGUUGUGUUUUUGUUGAAAUUUCCUCUGAAAAUCCUUCCAAGCUGAUGAGUUGUGGUCUUCCUCCUUGUCGCGGUGGUGAUGGUGAUGGUGGUGGUGGUGAUGAUGGUGAAAUACUUGACCUAGCUUUUCCUUGAGUCUUUUAAACCGCCCUAUCGUCUUCUUCCUCUUUUUUGCAUAAUCGCUUGAUCUGUCUCUCCUUUUAUGUGGAGGAGAAUCACUGACUUGAGAGUCACUAUCACUCUCUGGUGAGUCUGAUGAGUCUGACUCGGUUACACUCUCUGCCUUAGUUUCCCAGCUUGAGCCAGAGGCUGACCCUAUUUCCCCAGAGAUUUCUUCUUCUGAUUCUUGUUCUGUUUCUUCGCCACUCUCAGUUUCAAUCGAAUCUUCAUCCCAAGUCUCAGUUCCUUGAUCCAACAAAGUUGGUUUCAUCUUUUGUGACGUUCUCUUACUCUGACUUGGCUUCUUGAAACCAACGGAUCUCACAGGACGAGGCGGUAAUGGAAGACGUGACCUGACUCGAACAAACUGAUCAUCAAGAGAAGAGCUUCCUUGUGACUGAAGAAGCAAAGUUGGAUCAUCAUGGCUUGCCUCUGCAGCAUUGUUCACACUUGUCAGCCUCGGUGUUAUAUUCGAGGUUUUUGGAUCCCGACUCAUUUGUUUACUUGCUGGCAUCAUGUAAUUGCUCCUUAAACCAAACACAGAAGCUUGAUUGCUUUGUCUUGCUUUCAUCAACGCUCCCUCGCUUGACCUUUGAAAAGGCGUUCCAGAAGAAGAAUAAUCUUCCAUGGGAGACAUGCUUGGAGGCUUACACAACCUUGCUCUAUCGUCAUGAGAGUCCACACGAGUAGUACAAAAACGAAAAGCAGAAAGCUGUGUUUCGAUUCGUUCGAUAGAAUCAACGACUUCCUCUGUUAAACCUGCCUUGCUAGGCAAUUUGAUGAUACCACUACCCCUUGAGGCUAAUUCCUUGAUUGAGUUUUUACUUGAUGUAGAAAUCCUCUCUGGCAAACCCAACUGCACUUGUGCAAGUAUCUGUAACCAAACUUAUUUUAAGAUUACAGUUAGAGCAGAAACAUGAAAACAACAAGAAGCAUGCAAAGAACAGAUAGAUACUAACCUUGGAUUGUCUAGCCAAAAGUUCAUCAGUCGCAGAAUCGAGCAAACGCUUUAGUAGAAACUGUGUAUUCUCAUCUAACUGUGAAUUGCAAAUGCAAAGUUUCUGAUGUAAAGAGUGAUCGAUGAUAGAAAUAUAUAUAUAUGAUUACAGAGAUAAACUCACCAAAAAUGCUUGGGGUAUGGACUCGUUGUUUGCAUUUGAUCGGAGAAGACCGUAUAGUCUUCUCAGGGAUUGAAGAUCGCACUCUACUUUAUGAGGCUUCAUCAAGAAAACUAACCAAAGGAGAAGAAGAAGUCAGAGAUGUGUCAAAUUGGAAAUUUGGAAUACAGCAAAAUAACCGAUUGCAAAUUUUUUUCCUUUUCAAAAUUGACGAAAGGAAGUAAUGUUUCGUGUUUGUCGAAAACACGCUAUUUUUUUAAUUCGAACAAUAACCAACAUCGUUUUGUUUAAACUUUAAACAAUAAAAAAAGAAGAAACAAAAGAGGGCUUCAAUGCUGAAAACACUAAUUGUAAAAUUGCUUAUUUGAAAUAGCGAAAACAAACUGUUCGUUUACUGGUCUUAUCACCUGUAUUUGUUAUUCCACUAAAACUGCAAUUUUUAUGAAAUUAAUUGUUUCUUUUUUUUUGCAUCAAAGACUGCCAGUAAAGUAUAUUUUUUUAAUGGUUUUCUUUUUUUUUUUAAAGUAUAGAAGCAAUUUCAUUAACUUCAUUAAUGUUUACCCGGACCAAUAUUAUUUAAAGUAGCGAGAUCAUAUGCUUCAUGGAAAAAUAAGACUUGACAAUCGACUUUCUUUAGACGAUUUAAAUUGCAAAAAUGCUUACUAACUUUUUGAAAUAUUAUUUACGCCCCCUAGAUCAUCGAAACUGUUAGUCCCACCCCUGAAGAAAGCAACUAGACUUGGCUCUCAUCUAUUUGAUCUCUCUCCACUUUCCACUUCCCAGUUACGUGUACUGACAUUUCAACUUGACGAAACAUUUUAGUGUAGCAGAAAGCCAUCCUUUCCAACUUCCAUAUCAUUCACGUACGUGCAAAGGUUUCUUUUGCUCCUUGUAUUAAACGGUUAAACCUUCUUCUUUUUCUUAUUUAUGUAAAUUCCUUUUAUGAUUUCAUCUCUAAAAUUUAAUUCCCAAGAUCUAGAUUUGAUUUAAUUCAACCACAACAAUUUCUUGUAGAAGAAGAAAGACUAACCUUAAUCAAUGCUGACUUAUCCUCCCUUUCUCCUGGUGGUUAUUUGCUUUUGUAAUUGUGAUCACACUUUAUCACAAUAAAACCACAGUUUCUUUAUUUAAAGACACACCUUUUCGUCAAUAUAACUUGUAGCCCAAACGAUACCUGCCAUAUAAUGAUAACAAGACAAAAACAUCUGUAAGAAGAUAUGGUCUUGGUAAACUUGAAUUACGCAAGAGAUUGACUAUACCAAGGAAAUUCACAGAUUCAAUAUACUUAGUGACAUAAUUUUCUCCCUUUAAUUUAUCGUGCCUUGCUGAGACUACCUAUUCAAUUCAAAAAAUUAUGCCGACUCAUCUCUGUUCAAUUCUAUAUUGUAAAAAUAGUCAAUUUCAUCUAAAAUCCUCCAAAACUAAACAAGAUCAAGCAAUUCGGAAAUGAACAACAAACAAAUCAAGCAAAAUGCAGAAAAACAUGAGACAGGAACAGACGAGUUAAUUCAAAUUCUUUACCAGGUGAAAAGAAAACAGAGAAUCGGAUCGAAAUUCAGGAUGGAGAUCGGCAAAGAUAAAAUUAAAACUCCAGAUUCUCCGAGCACCAGUUAAAAAUUUCUCCAGUUUUUUAUCUCCUCGAAGAGAAAGAAAAAAUAUAUAUAUAGAGAGAGAAGGGGAAAGUUUUUAUAACGAAGGGUGAAAAGCAAAAAGGCGGGAUUUGGGCUAUACGCAACAAACGCGACUUUCCUCGAGCCACCACUCUCUCUCUCUUGUCUGUUCGUCGACUUUGGGUUCCACUAAUGCUUUUACCGUUAUACGCCUGGCUUAAAUCGCUGUGACAUCACUUUUAAAAAAAAGAACCAAUUACAUCGCUCGCGCAGGUACUUAACAUUCUUGGUGAUAUAAGAUUUGAACAUUAGUCAAGAAUGUUUUGUAUCUGCUCUGCAUUUCUUGGAUUGGAUCUAAAUUUUGAACUUUGUGGAUACAAAUCUUUUUGCAGCGUAGAUGGAAUAAUGCGCUUCUUGAAAUGUUUGCAAAUCAAUUACAAAAGAGACGUCUCCUUACCAAUCAUAGAUUAGGAUCAAAAUAACGGUUUCUUUUCCGUGCUGCCAAGAAAGCUGGUAAUCUAUCAAAAAAUCCUGAUGAGAAAAGCUUUGAUUCAAAGCAUUGAGUCUGAUUAAGUUUCUUUCGUAUUGAUCUUUCCAGGUAUGGAUUUUCAUUAACUGCUUGAGAUACCACAAGGGGAACGGAGACGGUACCUCGAUGAUGUUUCCAAUUGAUCUCUUUAGAUGGAACUGGAAGAAUGUGGAAAUCUUGUGUAUAAAGUUAUAAACAAAAAAAUCAUAUAUGAACAUAGAGAAAACUCGAGUGGAGUUUGAGUUUUAAGUCUCGGGACAAAAUGAAACUCAUCAAAUCUAAAACCUACAGAGCAUCUCCACUAAUGAUACUCACUUAGUAUCUCUUAGCAAUUGUUUAGUAUUAUUUUUAGGGAGAGAGAAAAAAACAAGAGACUCAUCACUACAAAAAACGCGGUCUAUAACGUCGGUUAUUAUUGAGCUUCACGUCACUAAUUAACCGACUUAAACCAAAUACCGUCACUUUUAAAACCGUCGUAAUAACGUGCGACGUUAAGUACUUUAGCUUCGCUUUUCAGAAUGACGCAUACUUUAGCGUCAGAAUAUUUGGGUCGGUUUAACAACGUAAACCAAAAGUUUUUUUAAGUGACGUGAAACAAACUACAUAUUUUUUUUAAGCCAGUCAUACAACCGACGUAAGCUCCACUUAUUAAUUUUAACUAUUUUGCUAAUUAAAUAUAUAUAUAUAUAUAUAAUAUACACUCUAAUUAACAAAGAUUUCAAAUGAUUACUCAAAUAACAAUUCAAAUUAUUCAAAUAAAUCUGUUUUUACAUAGAAAUGCAAAUGUCAUUGAAACUACAAUUUUUUUCAUAUAGUAUACCUAUAUGUACUGUCUUCAUGGAUUUUUCUUAAUACACAGCUUUUCCAGAUCCUCAACUUGAUGCUUUUUCCUGAAAUGAUUACAUAACAAUGAAACAACAAAUCUAACUAAUGCAGAAAACAUAUUCAAAUACUAGUUGAGGCAUUUAGAGACAAUCUCCUCACAUCAUCAAUGAAACAAACGAACUUGCAAGAACGAACCAGAAACUAUGGUGUAAUAUUAACAUACCAGUUUUCAAGUGAAAUCCAAGCUCAUAGUCCAGUCUUGGAAAUGCCACUUUCGUGGUCACUGUUGAUACUAGAUGUUUGAUGAAGGUUUAUGUUAAACUUUGUGUUGCCAACUACUGCAUUCAGCUGUAAAAAAUUACACUUUAUCAUACCAACAAUGAAGUCAGAGAAGGGAUAACAUCAAAUAGGGAGAUAGAGAAAAACCAAGUGCCCAAAAGCUUAAAAAGAGUUAUUUUCAGAGGGUAAAAGAGAUAAAAAAAUUUCACUUUCUAAAGUAAGAGAAUUGAAAAGUACAAACCUGCAUUCUUUUUCCUGCUUAGCAUUUUCCUCAGAACAUCUUAGCCUAUCAGCAAGUGUAACACCUUCAAGUCGGCAAUAUUCCAGCUCCCUCUUUGCCUAAAAGUUUAAAGGGAUUGAGAACCUAAAAGAGCAUGAUAAAAGUUGAGAAAAGGGUUUUCCUCUGUUAGAGCAAAUAGUAAAGGCUUCAACUUCAGUAUCAACAACGUAUAAAUCAAUCAUCAAUUGCAUGAAAAGACAUACAAGCUCGUUGACAUAUAUUUGCAGAUGUUCUAGUUGGGUAUUUUGAGUGCUCCAAAAGGACUGCUAUGGAUAACCACUGAGAAAAGAUACCAAAGAUAGAAAUAACAACUUUUAUCAGACAUGCUCACAGCAGUGUUUAAACAAAAGAAAUCAUGUGGCAAAAGAAAUCUCUUGAUAAUACCUGCAACAACUGGUUUGCACUUCUUUCAAAAAAAAAGAGUCCCGUCUUUUGCCAGCAAAGGACUCCUGUUUGCUGAUAUCUCUCUCGAGGAGGGCCUUCUGUUUUUUUUGCCAGCAAAGGACUCAGACAAAACAUAUUUCUUCCUCCUACUUGGAUCAUGAAACCAUAAUUUUUUCUGUGUUUAUUACAAAAGUGAACACAAAAUAUAGAAAUAGUUAAGACCAAGAAGUUUGAAAAGACAUCAGCAUUGUCACUUUCAAGUAUGACAUUAUUUUGAUAUACGUGAAACAAGGAAAAGUACCUGAAUCAUUUUCCAAGCCAUCUCUUUCCUGUAGUUGGUAAUUUUCCUACAAUCAGUGUAAUGUACAUUACUCAGUGAGCCUAACCACGAGCCAAACAAACCUCCAGAAUCCUUGAUAGGACAUUUUAGAUGAAGCAAAGAGGUAAAGAAACAGAACAUAAAGCAUCAUACGAGCUAUUUUGCUUUGACUAUAUUGGACAGAAAACGUGAUUAACAUAAAAUUUAACACAGCCAUCUACUUCCGCGUAAAAAGAGAGUUUAUCCAAAGAAUGGCAUCAAACGACAUUCAAAUGAGUAGCCAAUAUAGACUAAUCAAAAUAGAAAUGGACGAAUACAGAAGAUACUUAAAGGAAAACACAAAAACGCACAGAGAAGAUAUACCUGGUAGACGAAGCUCACAAAAGAACCAACGAACAGCGUAUCCCUUCACACGAGCACAGAUUUGUACGAAACUAUCAUGUCAACAAAAUUAACUAUUAGAAUCAAUCUGCAUCAUCAAAAAACGCAGCAAAUUUCUACCGAGCGAACCUUUACUGUUGCUUCUGAAACUCGAUGUUAGAUCUGCGCAUUUGAGAUGAAAUGGAAAUUGAUUUCAAACGAUUCAAAAGACUAAAUCGAUGAGACGCUUAGGUCAGAAACUCUAGAACUUGAAAGAAAUCGAUUCCCAAUUUCGGUAAUCGAUCAUUGAAAACGGAUUUGGAGCUCUGGGGAUUGAGUUUCGUUUCGCAAUCGUAAACUCAGAGAAUUGGGAAUAUUUUUUUUUUAAAUAAUAAUAAAUUGAUCAUGGGCCUUUGUUUAGUGGAUCAUACAUUAACAAUUAACUUUGGAUGUUAAAGUCGGUUAACAAACAGACGUUAAAAUCCUUCCAUUGAAAAAUGUUAAAGUCGAUUUAGGAAAUAACGUUAAUUUACUGACGUUACACAACAAAUUUCUUGUAGUGCAUAAAUAUAUUUAUGUAGUGUCUACUAGUGUUCUUUUUGUUGUAUCUCUUAAGAAUAAAAAAAUAAUUUUUUUUGUGUGAAUUUAAAUUACAUAAUUAUUCAAUAAUAAAAUUUUAAACAUACAACUUAUUGAAUAAGAAAACAUUAAAUAAUACAAACAUUUUUCAAAUAAUUAUUGAACUAGAAAAUAUAAAACAUACAAAUUUAAGAUGUGAAUUAUGCGGGAAUUGUGUUCCAAAUGUGCUCCACUAGAUCAUCUUUUAAACGUUUAUGAAUUUGCUGAUCACGAACUUCGUUACGAAUGCCGAUCAUAUUGUUGAUGUUUGUAGGCAUAUUUCUUGAAUACGCCAUAUCAACAUGUGAUGAUCUGUUUCCGUCUGGUUGUUGGAAUCCAGAUAUAUCGUACAAACUGCGGUUACCUCGUUCGUUUUCUACAAUCAUAUUGUGUAAUAUGAUUGAUGCCCUCAUAAUCUUUCCGAUCUUUUCCUUGUCCCAGAUGAGUGCCGGAUUUUUAAUGAUAGCAAACCGAGCUUGAAGAACCCCGAAAGCACGCUCAACAUCUUUACGGACAGAUUCUUGAACUUUGGCAAAUUUUUGUUCUUUUUCACUUUGUGGAAGGUUAAUAGAUUGGAUAAACGUUGCCCAUUUCGGAUAGAUACCGUCAGUUAGAUAGUAAGCCAACUUAUAGUUGUGACCGUUGACAGAAUACCUAACUUUCGGAGCUCGACCAUGUAAAAUGUCGUCAAAAACAGGUGAGCGGUCGAGAACGUUUAUAUCAUUUCACUACAAGAAAAACAUCAUUUUACAACGGCCAAAAUGGUCGUUAAUUAUCGUCGUAAAGUCAUCGUCGUAAUAGACAAAUCGUCGUAAAAUUGUCGUAUAAUAUACGACGGUUUUGUUUCGUCGUAACGUCGAGAGAAACAAAAUCGUCGUAAAUGCGUCGUACAGUUUACAACGAGUUUACAUCGAAUUGCGUCGACUUGGUCUUCGCCUAGACCGUCGUUAAGUGGUCGUUAAUGGUCGAUGUAAGAUCGUCGUAAAAUGUACGACGCAUAAAUCGUCGUAAAAUAUACAACGCAUAAAUCGUCGUAAAUCACUCGUAAAGUAUUUCUUCAUUUCGUCGUAAAAUCGUCGUAACUCUCGGACGUAUAAUCGCCGUAUUUGUCGUCGUACAUUGUAGUCGUAAAUUCGUCGUAAUAUUUACGACGAAUGUACGACGGUUUGAAUAAAUCUAUUACGACGAUUAUACGACAUUUAAUAUAAUUGAAAAUUAAAAAAAAAUAAUUCGAAUUAAAAUUUAAAUAAAAAAUAAUAAUUUACAAUUUAAAAUUUAUGAAAAUUUGAAAUUAAAAUUAAUUGUAAUUUACAAAAAAACCCUACAGAUCUAAAUCUAAAUCUAAAUCGAUCCCGUCGAUCCCGUCACCGGCCUCCUCCACAUCGUCCUGGACGUGUUCCUUGCCGGGUCUUCGGUUUGAUGCUUCCGCCGGCGCCUGAUCUCCGGCUCUAGGAGGCUCAACCCCGAGAGAUCGGAACAUCUCCUCGUCCGUCUGCACCGGCGGUUGCGUCCUAGUGGAUGACCCGGCGGCAGACGAUCUGACAACCCCAUCAGUCCGCAGCUUGUCCAACUGCGCCAUGAGUACCGGGUUGUCGGCUCCCAUGAUCUCGAAUAGACCGUAGAGCUGGUCGAUCCUCGUCUCGUACCGGGUCCGCAUCUGAUCGAUCUCCUGGCGGAUAACCGGAUCCGGGACCCGGACAUGACCAGUCGCCGUAGCUCUCGGGGUAUCACGGAUGGACCCCAUCCCUUAUACCCGCCCCUUUUUCUUUGGGGCAACCUACAAAUAUUUAAAAACAUUAUGGUUAGAAAUAUAAUUUAAAACUAAAGUUACAUUAAUUAAAAAUAGUAAUUAAAAUUACCUCUUCGAAGAUCUAGUCCAUCUCCGCCACCGUCAGCGCCGAGGUCGAUUGGACCGAGCUACCUCCAGGAGACGUUUGACGCGCCUGCUGAGUCAGCUGCGUCUGUCGCUCCUUGAUCGCUGCACAGGCGGUGUUGUAGAUCUCCUCCGCCCGAGGAUCCGUGAAUUCGCCGUUACGCUUUUUAUGCGUCUCGGCGAAAACCUUCGUCAUCGGAGGAAGUUCUCCUCCGUUAUCUUCGACCUACAAAAUCAAAAUGAAAAAAUUAAUUAGUAUCAAGAAAUAAGAGUUAAUUAUUUGAAAAAAAAAAAUUAAUGAUUUUUAUUUACUUACCAUCAUGAGCCGUCUUCCGGCAAAAGGAAUCUGGCCGGAAGUGUGCAGGAUGUUCUUCCGAUUUCCCGCAUCGUCAGUAGCGUUCCUGAAAAAUAUUUUGAUUAGAAUCUAUUAUAAGAAAAAAAAAUAAUGUAAAUAUUAUAACUACGACUUACCUAGAUCCGGAACACUUGGCGGCCGUAGUCUGGUUGUGCGGAUCCAACCAGUACUGGACAAGGCCCCGCCAGAUGGUAUUGGACAUAGGCGCCGGCUUGGCCUUGUCGCCGUCGACCUCCCACUUCCGUUUCCAGUCGGAAACGGUGUUGUUGAGGCGGAAUUUUACCUUCUCCUUGAAGGCCGUCUCCACACGUCCGUGUGCGGAUGUUUCCCAAUGCCAGUUUUGCUAGGAAAAAAAAGAAGUUAGUAAUUAUUGUAAAAAGUUAAAAUCUAAAAUUAAAAUUAAAGGAAAUGGUAAAUUACUUACCGCAAAACACUUGAACCAAGUGUCAAGUGUGGCCUGAUCCAGCUUCUUCCAGCUGGUAUGGGGUUGUACGAAAAACCCCUUGAUGAUAUCCGCAACGUUACGACCGACUGCAUUGUCGGUCGUAAACCUAGUCAAAUGGAAAGAGCAAAAGUUAAUUAAUAUCAAAUAUAUAAGAAUAAAUAUUAAUUAAUUUAAAAAUAUUAUAGGCAAAAAAUAACGUACCAAAAGGUGCAGGGGGCUCGAUCCGGGUCGAGUUUGUUCAUGGUCUCACGACCGGGUUGCGCCAUAAGAUCCUGUACCGUAAACUGGGCAUACGGUACAGGCGGGAUCGGAUCAGCCUCAGGCUCGGCCUGUGCGGGAGCCGCUGGUUCGGCUGGUGGUGGUGGAAGCGGUGCCGGCUGCGGAACAACGACCGGUUGGGAAACCGUCCGUUGUGUUCCCGAGGACUCCAGGAUGGCUGAUCCGGUCGCCGAGGUAGACGGGGCCGUACCGUCAGAAUCGACGAGCUAUCGGUAGUGAAAUCUCUUAGCCCGAGGAGCCAUCGAGACAGAAUCUACAAAAUUUUAAAAAAUUUGUUACUAAUUUUUCAAAUAUUUAUUAAAAUUUACAAAAUCCGGGCCUAUCUAAAUUCCGAAACCUAAAUUUAAAUUCCGAACCUAAAUCUAAAUUCCGAACCUAAAUCUAAAAUAAUAUGUAAUGAAAUUAUUUUUUUUUUAAAACUUACAAUUAAUUGGUCGGGAGAGUAGGGAGUGAGGGAGAGAUUUAGUUUUUUAGAGAGAGAGAGAUUUAUAGAGAGAGAGGGGGAAGAGAGGAAUGAGCGACGAAAGGGAAAAACUCGCGUCCCUUAUAUAGAUUUUGUGAUCGUCGGUUUUGCGACGGUUUUACUACGAUUUGGUUGUAUAACAGUCGAUCCACUGCAGGACACGACACGUGUCGUGAUGUGAUCGUCGUAAAAUCUUCGUAACUUUACGACGGUUUUACGACGAUUAAACCCAAAACCGUUGUAAAAUCGUCGUAACGUCUAAACAUUUAUAACCUCGUACCUCGGAUCAAGAGCCUAUCUGGUGCAAACAGUACGACGGUUUUGGGUAUAAUUGUCGUAAACCGGUCGUAAAUUUACGAUUAUAUUACGACGGUUUUACAAUGUUUUUUAAAAAAGUGAGUAAACCCUAAAUCUUAUAAAUGGGGUAUUGCAUAAAUAACAAUGCAAAGGUUAUUGUAUCCUAACAUAUAAUAAAAGGUUUACAACUUUGCAUGUAUGAUGGAUUUAUGACAUGAGAUAGUAAAAAAUGAAAUUCCGUAAUCUAAUAUAUAACCUUUCACUUAACAUUUUCGAAAACAUGCAUGAACUUGUAAAUAUGUAUGUUUUUUUUCAAAUUUUUGAUUUUGAUCAGAUUGAUAGCAUUUCAUAUAAAAUAAGAUAAUCAAUCAAAAAAAAUUGUGAAAUACCUUACAACCAAUAAGAUAUAAAAGAUUCAAAUUCUUGGAUUUCAACAUUACGACGCUUUUACGACGAAAUAAUGUAUUCGUCGUAAAGACGUCGUAAUGUUGAAACCCUAUUCAUUCAGGGCUAAAAACCGUCGUAAAAUCGAAUUUUAUGGUUUUUAAAAAAUUCAAACAAACAAAGUUACAAAUUACAUAAUAACAAACAUUCACUAAAUACAAUGCAUGAAACUCAAUCAGAUUCAUCUUCCUCUAUUACUUCAUCACCAUCACCGUCUUCUUCCGCCAAAUCAUCAUCAUCGGUUUCAGCAAACUCAUCAUCACCUUCUUCUUCUGUAUCAUCGGGAAGAUCUUCAAGUUGCCUGUUCCGAGGGUCUAUUAAGAAAAUCUCCUCAUCAACAUCUGGUUCAGACAGAUCUACGCAAGUGUCCUGUUGAAGUGGAACAUCCUCAACCCCUACAAUCUUGAAAAUAAACUCAAAAUACUAUCUCUUUUUAUUGAUUAGACAAUAAAGGAGGUGGUCUCUUGUGUCACGUCUAGCCACGUGAAUGAAGUAAAUUAACCUUAUAAUAUUAUUACUUCUUUGAUUCAAAGUAAUAGAACUCUUAAUUCGGGUUUUCAGCAAUGGACAACCCAAUAUAUAAGGAUUUACAACACUAUACUAAAAUUUAAGAGACCUACAAUGGGUCUCCAAGAUGAAGAUGCUCUUAUGUUUGAAUGAUGAUGUGUUGUGAUUGAAUGAAGGAAUGAAGAUCUAUUUAUAGGAAAAUUUUGGGCUUUACAACGCUUUUACGACGACUUUUUACGACGAUUUUACAUUCAACAAUAAUAUUAUGACGAGUUUACGAUGAUUUUACGAUAAAAUUUUUCAUCUACAAUUGUUAGGUAAACAUGUUUUAAAUGUUUUUCACCUAACUCUUUUUCGACGUACAAUCGUCGUAAUAUGUACAUCGAAAUGUAGUCGUCGUAUAUUCGUCGUAAUUUUGCUACGAAUUUACGACAAUUUUACAUUUACUAGCAAAUCUCUCGUUAUCGAUGUAUAAUCGUCGUAAUUCGUCGUAAAUUGUACGUCGAGUUUACGACGAUUUUUAUAUACGACGGUUUUACGACGGUUUUUAUAUUAGACGUAAGAUCGUCGUAAAAUCGUUGUAAAUUUGCGACGAUUUAAAAACCGUCGUAAUGGACCGUUGGAAAACGAUUAUUUUCUUGUAGUGUUUAAUGUACCUGGGGGCCCAAAGAAUGCGUGCCAUAUCCAAAGAUCGUAUGAUGCCACAACUUCUAAUACGAUUGUCGGUUUUCCUGCACCCCGGGUGUAUUGACCUUUCCAAACGGUUGGACAAUUUUCCAUUCCCAGUGCAUACAGUCGAUGCUUCCAAUCAUGCCGGGAAAGCCACGUGACUCUCCAACAUCGAGCAGUUGUUGGAGAUCUUGUGGUGUGGGACGUCUAAGGUAUUGAUCUCCAAAUAAUUCUAUUAUGCUUGAAGUGAAAUUUUCCAAACAUAAAAUUGCGGUAGAUUCACCUAUACGCAAGUAUUCGUCCACCGCGUCUGCUGCACAGCCGUACGCCAUCAUCCGAAUUGUGGCUGUACAUUUUUGUAGUGCUGUCAGCCCUAAGCGACCGGUAGCGUUCCGCCUUUGUUGGAAAUAUGGAACCUCUUCAGAUAGUCUAUCCACAAUCCGCAUGAAUAAAGUCUUGUUCAUGCGAAAACGCCGUCGAAAUAUGUGUGGAGGAUAGAUUGCAUCUUCCGAGAAGUAGUCAUUCCAUAACCGGAUUUGACCUUGUUCCCGUUCUCGUUCAAUGUAUGCUUUUUUCUUUUUUUUCUUCUUUGCGGUUGGAAGACGUUCGAUGAUCUCUUCAUAUGCUUCUUCGAAUUUUUGCUCAAAUAUUGCAUUAAAAGAAUCAUCAAUUGCAUCUUCAAAUUCAUCAUCUUCAAAGUCAUCAGAAUCAUCAGACCUAUAGUGUGAUGAAGACGCCAUGUAGAAGAUAGAGGUGUGUGAAACAAAAGAAUUGAAGAAGAGAGUAGAUGAAGAUGGUUAGAAAACCUUGAAGAAGAGAGUAUUUGGGGUAAAACGAACGACUUGGAGAAAUGAGUUACAACGAAAUACUUGGGGAAAAAACAGAUUAUAUAAUGCAAACAUUAUCUCAGAUACCAUCGUUUACAAUAAUUUAAAAGUACCCAUCAUGAAUUUCUACAGAAGAUAAAAUGAAACAUAAAAGUACACUCGUGACACAAGUAAACAAAACGAGAGUAGCUCGUGAUAGAAGACCCCAAAAAUGUCUGGUAUCCCACAUAAAGCACUCCACAAAAGCCUGAAAAAGAUGACAAAAGUCAUAGAUAACAAAUCAAUCAUUGCAAUUCACGAAUAACACAUGAACAUGGAAUUGAAACAAACAUAACCGAGCAUUAGACAUUAAACAUAACCGAGCAUUAGACAUUAGACAUACAUAACCGGGGAAACAAAAACAAACAUCAUAAAAGUGCCCAAUACAAAUUUAAACAUUUCCCAAUACAUAACCGGCUUCAAGAUAACAACUCAGAAAUCAACUUGUUCUUGAGGGCAUUUUCAAUGUCAGAGAGUGGCUCAGGUUUCGCUAGGAGUUUGUCCAGGGUUUUGUGCUUAGCAAAUUUUGACUUCAUCUCCAUAUCUUGUUGUCUAGUCUUAGCAAUUUCUGCCUUCAACUCCAGAUCCCUUUGCCUAAUACUCCUCAAGUUCUGAAAAUCGAGAAGUGCCUUACCUUCUUCUUUACAGCCGUUUUGCUUCUUGGCUUUUGCAUUAGACGCUUUCACUCCUGGUGGUCGCAUCUCUGCAGCAUCAUGUACAUCUGCUCCGGCCUCCACAUUGUUAGACGACUGACCCGAUCCAUGUAUAUCAUCCACCUUUUUUCUUUUCGAGCUUGCACUGUCUUUUAAAGCGGUGGUUCUGCACCAUUUCUGGUCAUGUCUUAACUCGCGCCAUGCAUGUUCUAAGACAAACUUGAAGCCAUGAUCAUUGAAAAAUAUGUCAUGUGCACCUUUCAUGACAUCAUUUUCAUUUUGCCCACUGGUCUUCUCCUUCGUAGCUGCUUCAUAGCAUCCCACGAACUUGCAAACUUGAUCGUUGAUCCUACACCAACGUUGCUUGCACUGGCCGACUUCCCUUUUUGGCUGACUGGCGAGAUGCUUUGAGUUGUUGUAGUACAAGCAUAUGCGGCUCCAAAAAGCAGAAGCUUUCUGGUCAUUACCAACGACCGGAUCUUUACUCGUAUUCAGCCACGCGGAGAUGAGGAUGACAUCUUCCUUCGGUGUCCACUUGAUUCUUUGUGCAGGUGUCUUCCCUUCUACGCUUGGAGCCUCAUAAGUCUGUGUACUAAACACAGGGACCUCUGAUGAUCCAAGGUCAAUGAUGUGCGAGUAGCCGUCAUUAGGGAGCUGGAUUGUUAAAAGAUUUACAAAACCUUCAGCCUGGCCGUAAUUGUUGCCGGAAUCCAUUAGGGUUUACAAAGGUUCGGUGGUGUUGAAGAAAGAGGAAGGGUUUAGAAGUAGGCAAUGUUAUAUGAGUAGUGUAAGUUUAGGGUUUAGAGUAGUUUGAGUAGUUUGAGUUUUUUAGAGUAGUUUGAGUAGUUUAAGUAGUUUAAGUAUUUACAAAGUUUUUUAGAGUAGUUUAAGUUUUUUUAUGUAGUACAAGUUUUUUAAUGGAGUUUUACUGAAGCAGUGUGUCAUUUACUAACCCUAAACCUAACUUUUACUUUCAUUCAAGGCAUUGAUCACAAUGGAUGCCAAAGCACACGCAAACUUCUACUUUCAUUCAAGGCAUUAAAACUUAACAACUUUCAGCUAACAACCUCAACAAGCAUUUAUACCAACUCAAUGCCUAUCUAAUUCUGCAAAGACAAAGGGGAAAAGGAAGCUAACCUCGUUGAAAAGACUCCAUGAUAGAAUGGCAUCAGUUGUUAUCUCGAUAUUCCCACCAUGUUACACUCGAAAAAAAAUUGAAAUAAGUGUAAUGGACAUAUAACAUUCAAUACAGUCUUAACUCCUCUACCUAACCAAAAUCGAACUAGCAUUAAACACAAACAAGUGGCAACAAAAACAAACUCAAACAAGCGAACAUGAAUACAUUCAUAAACCCUUAAGAUUAAAAGUUCAACAUAAUUCAACAUUACAACAAAACAUGGUCUGACUUAGUGAAAAGAAGACAAUUUAACUUGUUCCUCUUAAAUAGACAACAUUCAUUGAACAAUUGUUAUUGUCAUGCUUAUAAAAACCUACUUAAACAUAUAGCAAACGGCAGCGAAUACAACAAAUAUAACAAGGAACAUGAAUGCGUCACCUUGGUUAGCAUUGUGGGCUUUCAGCAUCGUCACAUCUUCUUGAAGAUGUCCCACAUGUUCUUGCAGCAUAGACACGUCUUCUUGCAGCAUUCGGACAUCUUCCUUCAAGUCUGCAAUGGUUGGAUUAGUAGCAUGGCGCCUGUCGACGCUGAAGAGCAUCUCCUUUUGCUCGUCUAGCCUAAGCUCAAGUAUGGAGAACUGCUCCGUCACAGCCUCAUCCCACCAUUGCCUCUUGUGCUCACCACGACCCUACGUAAGAGUAGAUAUUAAAUCCUCAUCGAAAAACAUGUAUGUAUUUAAAAACUUUGUAACUACAACUUACCUCACAGACCCAGUCAGGGCAUGUGUAAUACUUGCGGCCUGCAAUUCCCAUAGCACCACCAGGACAAGUUUCAAGCUUCACACGUUUCCCAAAAAAACAUUUCUCUGGUAUCCCGUAGGUUGCAUCCGCGUAGGCCCAUCCUAAAUCCAUUUCUAGAUCUUCGGAUGAUGUUUCGCUAUAAUGAGGCAUUGCCUGCAAUGAUAGUCAUUAAACAAGUCGUCAAGUUAAAGCAAGUAACAUAACUAUUCAAUUAACAAAGAAGAACAAGUAAGUCACAUAUGCGACUCACUUAAUAAAUCUCUAAAGAAAUCCACAUAACUAACAACUCACAAAGCAAAAGAACAUUGGCUAAAGACAACAAUCAACCGAUGCUCAAAGUCAAAUGCUUAGUGAAGAGAAUCAAACAAAAACAUUGCCUAAAAUUCCACUAUCAUACGUAACAAACUGUUUUCCAUUUUAUCUGCUUGCAUCAUCGUUUAGUUUAUGAAUCGUGACAAACUAAACCAACAAAAUCAAUCGACAAACCCUAAAUUAAAAAUUUCAGUUUCGUCAAACCCCACAAUUCGAGUGAACCGUUGUGAAAACAUCAUCUAUAUGCAACCGCCUAAACACAAAAACCCCUAAUUUGAACUUUCAAACAUGUCAACAAAUUUCCCCUAAAUUCGAGAAACCCUAAAAUUCGAUAAUCUAAUUUAACAUAACCAAUGAUUCGACUGUAAUCGAUGUCAAACAACAUCUACAUGCACACGCCGAUACACAAAAACCCCUAAUUUGCACCGAUGAUUAACCGAUACAUUUUCCCCAAAUCGACGAACCCUAAUCUCCCCCAAAAGUUCAUCAAAUCACAAAAAUAAACGAAUAGAGAGAUGAUUACCUUACACAGAUGACGGAAGAGAUGGAUCGGAGGCGCCGAAAACGACCGGAUAGCACGAUCUCCGGAAUUCGACGAUAUCGCCUCUCUCGUCGCCUUUGAGAGAGAAAAAAGGAAAAAGAUUUGUUCUCCACUUUUUCGCGACCUAAUUUUUUUAUCCUCCAAACAUUUUGCAAUUAAAAUUGUAAAAAAAAAAAAAUUUAACCACCACUAAUAUGCCGCCACGUAUUCGACGAGACGGUCUCAUCCGCUUCUAAUAUAAGGAGCGAUCCGUCGAGUUUUUGGCUGAGAAAUGAUUAAAAAAUGACUGACCCAUAUGAAACUGUGUCGACGUUUUUUUUUAAAAUCUCCUGCUGGAGAUGCUCUCAGAAAUUCGGGGAAGAUCAUUCAGUUAUGUAAUGUAUUAUGUUAAUAAACAGUAAAAGAAAAAGUUUUGACGCUGAACUAAAACGCAAAAGUCUCAUAAAGUCAUGAUUUUAUCUCUCUCUUCGUAAAUACACAUUCAACGAGGAAUCCUAGACUUUAAAACCAACUCUUUGACUUAAAGGUGAAUCUGUUUGUGUUCCGUACUUUAUGUUCCGUAAAUAGCCUCAAAUCGAGAAUUCUAAUCAAAGCCGGUUGUUAGACCGGUUUAUGAUCAUGAUUUUGGUUCCGGUUCCGGUUUCGAAUCAACUUUCUUUUUUGUUGUAUGAGAAAAUUGUAACUGGGCUGGGCCUCAUUGUUUAGCUCAGUGGACCCAUAUUUUAAGUCGUCUUUUUCUUUUUCUUUUUUUUUUUCCUCACCUUGUGCUAUGUUUAUGUUAUACGCGUCAUUGUCAUAUUAAAUUUGUUUCUCCACUUUCUAGAACUUUUUUUCAGAAAAAUUAAGGCCGUCUCUACUUCGCUGAUAAUAUAUUUUAAUUUAUACUCUUUAAAUCUAUUGCCAAAGAUAUAAUAAUAUAUAUCAUUGUCUUGUGACGCAGACCGAAAGUGCAUUCACCUACACGAAUGGUUCUUACUAUAUCUGUGUCAAAGAAUCAUUGGCCGAACCAUAUUAUAGUCCAGACGCGUGACACCUGAACGCUUCAGAAGAUGCAGAAAUAUUAAUUAUACUACGACGUAAUGUAAUUGAUGACGGAGCCGUUAAAUACACGUUGCUUUUGUAAGCAAAUUCGACGCUUUAGAAGCCGUUAACUAUGACAGCGUCAAAUAUAUUUUUUAAUUUAUAUGUUCCCAAGCGUUGCAGGUUACACAACCAACGUCUCAGAUCAAAACCAUCGAUUCAACGGUUGUGAUCGAGUUUAAAUUUUCGUAUUUUCUUAUUUUAGGCUUCCUUCGAGAUCUUUCUUUCAAAGGUGGAAGAAAGCGCUAGAAUACUGAUUUGUUGUUGUUGUUCUUCUUCUUGGAAUCGAAAGCUACGAUCUGCACGAAUCGAUCGGAAACAAUGGCGGAUGAACAUAAGCACGAAGAAUCUCUGCCUAAUUUGGACCCAGCGGUGGAAGUUGUAGAGAGGGAAUCGUUGAUGGAGAAGAUAUCAGAGAAGGUCCAUCACAAAGGUGACUCUUCGUCAUCGUCGUCGUCGUCAGAUGACGAAAACGAGAAGAAAUCUCUGAAAUCGAAGGUUUACCGUUUAUUCGGCAGGGAGAGGCCCGUUCAUAAGGUUCUCGGCGGCGGAAAACGUACGUUCUACGACGAUUUUUACGAUUUCGUUUUCGCUGGCUUGAUUUUGUUUUACUUUCUUCUAGAAUGAUGAUUUUUCCACUGGUUAGAGCUUUGAUGCUUCGUUUUAGGGAUCGGUGGUUCUCUGUGUCGUUAAGAGGAUGGUUGAUUAGCUUAGAGCUUUGUUGAUCUCGUUGAGUAUUCUAGUUCAUCUGGAUCCACCUUAUUUCUGGUUUUGGAUUGUAUCAAUUGAUACGAUUUCCAUCUCUAACUUGACUUGUUUGAGUAUUGAAAAUAGAAGUUUACUCAUGAUCUUCUCGUAUUUUAUUGAUGAUAGGACUUCUUGUUUAUAUCUUGAUUUCUAAGCCUUAAUUUGGUGAUCUUUCCUGAUUGCAGCGGCUGAUAUAUUUAUGUGGAAGAACAAGAAGAUGUCAGGUGGUGUAUUUGGUGGUGCUACAGUUGCAUGGGUUCUCUUUGAAUUGAUCGAGUAUCAUCUUCUUACUCUGCUAUGUCACGUUAUGAUCGUUCUUCUUGCUGUGCUGUUUCUAUGGUCUAAUGCCACUAUGUUCAUUCACAAGUAAGUUCAUAUUUAAAUUCUAUGAAAGUUGCUUGCUUCACAUCUUAGAUGAAGCUUGUUUGACCCAUCUCAUUUGUUGCUAAUUCAGGUCUCCUCCAAAGAUUCCUGAAGUACAUAUCCCUGAAGAACCUCUUCUUCAACUUGCUUCAGGGCUCAGAAUCGAAAUUAACCGAGGGUUCUCUUCUCUUCGCCAGAUCGCAUCUGGAAGGGAUCUCAAGAAAUUCCUCUCUGUAAGUUUAAAAACUGUCCCACACUUCUCUCUCAGUGUCUUAUCUUUAAGGUUGAACUAUAAUUGUCUUGUUCGAUCAAAUUAGGCUAUCGUCGGAUUAUGGGUUCUAUCAGUUUUGGGUGGAUGCUGUAGUUUCUUGACAUUGGCAUACAUAGGUAACAACACUUACCAUGAAGUAUUGUUUCUUUCUUCUCUAACACAUCAUUUAUUCUAACAAUGCUAAUGAAUGGUAUGGUUCUCUGUUGAUUUAGCUCUGGUUCUGCUCUUCACUCUUCCUCUUCUCUAUGACAAGUACGAGGACAAAGUAGACUCAUAUGGUGAGAAAGCAAUGGCUGAGUUGAAAAAGCAAUACGCUGUGUUCGACGCAAAGGUAUUGAGCAAAAUCCCAAGGGGACCAUUGAAGGAUAAGAAGAAAGAUUAGGGUUUUUGCGGGUUUUUUUUUUGGCGUGGGUGUGCACAAUGCUCUGGUUUUGAAAAUGUGGGUUGUGUUGUGAAAUGGUAAAUCCAAAAGUUGUGUUAGAUCUCAUCUCAUUUCUCUCGAGUUUUUACUUAACACCUUUGCUUCUUUUUUUUCUUUGUUUUGUUCUGUGGUAUUGGUGGUGUUCUUGUUGCAUGAGGUCAAAACUUGUAGUGGCUCUUUUACUUGUUGAAUAUGUAUGUAGUCAGUCUUUGACUAACGUAUCGAUUUAUCUGUGUUGUAUACUUCGGUGUUACGAUCUCGAAUAAUACAUAUAUCUUUUAGUGCGUGUAUAUAUAUGUAAAAUGGUGCUAACUUUGUUACCAAAGUCAGGAUGGCCGAGUGGUCCAAGGCGCCAGACUCAAGUUCUGGUCCUCGAAAGAGGGCGUGGGUUCAAACCCCACUUCUGACAUGUUAUUAUUUUUCAUAAUUUUUUGAAGCGUAAUGAAGAUGUGAAGUUAUGUAUGCGAAAGAUUAUAUUUAACAAAAGGUUCAUAUAAGAACAUCUCCAUCGCAGGAUUACUGUAGUAUCACAAAUGGGCUGUAGUAUCACAAAUGGGCCCGGUCGUUUUUUUAAGAUUUGAAAAUUACAAAAGAAGUCUAUUUUCGUUGAAUCCGUAUAACUGCAGUGAAUUUGUUGAAUCCGUAUGAGUAGAGUAUCACUGGAUAGAUGUCAGCAUCUGAUAAGUUAAGCGUUGCCCUUCUUUAAAAAUUAAGAGCCAUUAAAAAAAAGAAAAAAAGGAAAGAUUUAAUUAAGAAUUCUUGUGUUCAAUUUCUGUUUUCUACAUCGUUUUAAUAUUUAAACCGUGAAAGAUGCUUAUUUGUGAUGUGCCUUUACCGUAAGAAUCCGUGAAAUUGAAUUAUCUUUGCCGGCGUUGUUCAAUUUUCUCCGUCUUCUACCAACCCGUAAACCGACCACACCGUCCCCUCCGUUUUCUUCCGGCGUCGUCUUCGCUGCGAAACGGGUAAUCAUUUAUGUUUUAUGCAUUCCCUCGUUUCGUGAAGCUCUGCUUUUUGUUUGAAUCAAAGCGAUAGAGCGAGUUAGUGAUGAGAUAGUAGGACUCGAAGUAUUCUGCAUCCCAAUUGUUGUUUAUGUUUUUUCAGGCUUUAGUGAUGAGACUUUCUUUUGGUUUGUUUUUGCAUUUUCUUGGGAAUUAUCGAGAGUGCUUCCGAUGAAUCUUAGAUUGAUUAAAAUUCUGAUUUCUUCGUCCUUAUAGUUGUUAUCUUGUUGUAUCACAGAGAAGAAGAAGCUUUCAACUGAGUUGCUGGAAAGUGUUGUUUAUAACUCUCUAACAAAAAAAAAAAAAAUUUAUUCUGAUGAACCUAACAAGGGUUCAGGGUUGGAGUUACAAAUUUGGUUAGAAAUCAUCACUGUUAAAAAAAAAAACAAUUAUUAAAAAUAUCCUAUGAACCCCAGUGAGGAUAUCAGGGAUGGAGAUGCCCUAACACCUGUUAAAAAUUAAAACACCUUGAUAAUUGAUGUGUCUAUAAAAAAAGUAACACCUGGGUAUGUCUAUAAAAGUUAACAGAAAAAAUAGUACAUAUAAAAAUAGAGUGAAUAUUUAAUAUGUAGUACAGUGAAAACAUGAUAAUACAGUGGGUUCCACGUCUUAUUUUUCAAAACAAAUAAUUGUAAGCAAAGCACUUCGUCACAAAUGAUGUCUUUUCUUAACCACAAAGAAUUGUUUAAUGGCUAAUCGUCGAUCAUGUUCAAAAUCCGAACAUGUUAAUCUACCCCUCAGUAUAUUAAUAUAUGCAUAAUGGUAUGAAUAAUAAUCGGUUCUAUUAAAAUAAAAUAUUUGUAAACAGAAAUUAUGACUUGUAACUUUACUCAAAAUGUAGUGUCUCUAAGAAAGUAUGUUAGGAGUUAGGACCUUAGGUAGUGAACAAAAAUAAUAAAUCAGAGAAAAAACUUUAUCAUUAAUUUUGUAAUCUACUACAACUGGUUCAUGUUGGCAUGUUGCAACAUAUCAUUUGAUUACUUUCUUCCUCAAUUUUUGUUUUUGGGUAGUGUCGUUGUUUUACAUAAAUUGGAUUGCUAAUCUUUUUUUGUUUGCCAACAAAACUAGAUUGCUAAUCAAAUAUCAAAGUAUGCAUUAACAAUACAGACACACUAAAGACAUCAGUUGACAAAUUAAAAAUCUUUAAAUUUGGUAAUACCAAAAAGAAUAUGAGCUAUUCUGCCUCAACACUAAACAACUUACAUCUUUACAAUUUAUCGCAUAAUUAUUGAGAAUGUACUAUAUAAGGCUUUGAUCAAUUUAACGACGACAUAAACAGCGUUUAAACAAAAUUCAAAGAUCGUAAUUCGUAACUCCUUAAAUUGCAAAGACAAACACAACCGAAUUGACAAAAUAACAAGAAUCAAGAAAAAACAUAAAUGGGAAAAAAAGAGAACCAAAAAACCCUAAAUAAUAAAGAAGAAGCCGAUAUAACACCUUGGUAGGUUCGAAGAUGAUCGAGCCUAUCCGCCGUUCCAUGACUUGCCGGUUCAACCCCACCGCUUUAACCGGGCCGGUUUGAAGAAUCAUCAUAACUACCGGUUAUUAUUAUUUGCAGGGAGUGAACAUUUUUUUAAGUUACGUGGUGAAAACCCUCCGGUCCACCUUGAAGCUUCUAUGGAAGCUCAGCUCAAGCUCCCCAUUUGGUUCCAACCUCUUAAUUUUGAUCCAUCUAGGGAGAUCUUGAUUAAACUUCCAUGGCUAAAAAUGGGGAGAGAGAGUUUUUGUCUUUCUACUUCUUGUCUUUAUAUAGGCAAUGAUUUUUUCAUUAAUUAUUUAGACUAGGAAAGAGUGAGAAACUCACACCAAAAAGCAUUGAUAAUCGAAUGCAUAUGAUGUAAAAACCAAAUUUAUAAUUAAAAUAACUAAAUGAUAACCAAAUUUACAACAAAAUCUAAACACUGCAAUCUUAUGAAAAUGGAAUGUUUUGAUCAAAUAAAAGAAUUGCGUAUACUAAACAAAAUUGUAUUCUUUAUUUUGUGUCUUAUUGGUUUAAAAUAACAUCUGUUGUUUGAAGUGGGUGGACUUAACCGACAAUAGUACCCCUGAGUAGAUUCCCACCAAUUACCCCCCACGCACUCUGCAAUCUACUGCUCUGUUUAUAAUCAUUGGAGGGUAAUAACGUGAAAACACCUUGUUUACUAAAUUGCUAUAUAAAAUUAUCAAUCUAGAAUGCAAAAUCAAUUAAAAAGUCAAGAUAUCACUAUUUACAAUUCUUAAUCUAGAGUGCAAAACAACCAAUUAAAAAGUCUACAUAAAUUACGCUUUACAAUUAUUAUUCUAGAUAGUGCAAAACCAAUCAAAAGUCUAGACUUUAGAAUGCGUUGCGAGGGACCCCGAGUCCAAUAUCUUUAAUUUUGGUGGAUCAACUGCCUGUUUGUCUAUUUUCAAUUGGCCAUUCCUCUUUAAUUAUUGUAAUUUCAUCAUUUCUUUUGAAUAUUUCCUCGAAAUCCUGACUAUAUGUCCACUAAGUCACACUUCGCUUUUCAAAAACAUUUCAAAAGCAUUAAGUAGUUUUUGUUUGAUCAUCUUAAGGGAUAUCAUACGCAAGAUAUUCACUUUACAAAUUCAUCGGAGUUACCAAAAAAAGAAGAAAAUUUGAAGGAAUGAUUACAUAGAUCAGAUGAAACUAUCUUAUUUUCAAAGAGCUAAUGUAAAGAAAUGCAUGAAACUUUCUCUCAUUUCUCUUAAAAAUGAUUGAUAGUCACAUACGAGUGAAAACGAUUGUGGACCGAGAGUAGCUCCUAUAUUUGCUUAUUUAGUCUCUACUUGCAACUUCCAAUCCUUCAUCAACUCAAAGCACGAUUCAACUCAAAGGAUUGGAACCUAUAAGCUGGCCAUGCUUUCUUCCUCAAAACAGAACCAAUAAUAUUCGAUGUUUGAGAAGCAAAACUACCUUGUUAAGCUGAUGGCUCAACAUGCUUUCCACAGCCCACCAAACUAAGCUUUUCAAUUUUGGCUUUAAUCAAUAUGCCAAUAUAUGAAAAAGCUCUUCUACUAUGCAACAAUACAUCCCUAUGAGAAUCUCUUAAAAUCCAAGCAGCUCCAAGAAGAGAAUUUUCCUUCAAAAACCCAAGCAGCUCCAAAGCAAUAAAGUAACUUUACUAUUAGGUUUGCUGCAAAUAAUAAAAGAAAAACUUUUACAAAAAAUAAUAAUAAUAAGAAAUUAGUAAUUUUACUUGUUUAACUUUUCAUUUACAUAGUUGUCGCUCAUUUAUGUUUUUCUAUCAUUGCAUAGACAUUUUCAAAGUUUAAACCAUUUAAGCGAACAUAUUAAGGACUACCUUUUCUCCCUAUGACUUGACCUCUCUAGUUAUGCGAUAAAUAAUGAUGAUAAUCUCUUUCCAUGGCUCUUCUUGCAAUCUCUAUGGCUUCGAGAGUGGAGACAAUGUGGACCUGCACGGGCACAUGUGGGACUAGAUAUAGAAUUUUGUUACUAUCCUAUAUUGAUAUACCCUUAAUCUGCUUUUUUUGUUACACGAUUUAGAGCUUCUAGCUUAACAUCUCAGCGCAAAACAAGAAGAUUUGUUCCAAUUGCUCUUAAAGAGAUCAGCCACGAUUCUGUUGUUAGCUUAUCAUGAUCUAAACACAUCCAUUUAAGAAAUUUUGUGCUUCUAUGAUUCUAUCUCCUUCCUUUAGCCAGUGAUGAUUUCUUCUUCCUAUAGACUUUGAUAUGAUUCUCCCAAGGAUGUUGCAUUCUAAGGUGGUAAAAGGAUAGUCUUUGCUUCUAAGAAACUGUGAAGCUUCAAAGAACAAAGGAUGUAGAGCGAAUGGUGACACUAGAGGUGCGGAAAACUCUUGAUUUUACAGCGGAAUGACUGUUAGACUCUCAAGAAUUACUUCUGUAAAGAAUUUGAAUCCAAAAUACAAUAAGCAAGUGGGUGGAUCGAAUAAAACUUCUAAGAGAUGCGGAAUGCCUCUUAGACUUUCAAAGAUUGCUACUGUAAAGAGAUCAAUCACCAAAUACAAUAAGCAAGGAAGAGAAUCACUCUCAAAGUUCCAAAAAUAAUCAUCAAAGUCUUAUCUUUUUAUUCAGCAUAGUGGGCUCUAUAAAUAGAGAAAAUAUAUGAUAAAAACGUCCAUAAAAGUAUCUCAACAUGCAAAGAAUCUAGGGAAAUGAAAUUCAAACUUUAAAGUGCAUGUAAGAGAGAAAAAUAGACAAAAUUGAAUGCAGUUUUUGUCAUGGACGAAAUUUGAUCUUCUUUGAUUCUUUUUUUUGGGGCUGAAUCCACUUUGCUGGACUUCUCUAAUGGACCAAUAUUAUAGAACAACUUGGUUUGUAGCUUAAUUUAUCUUGGUUUGGUCGGAAUCCUUCAAUGAAUGCCCGCAGAUCCGAAACGCGUAAGCUGGAGAUCACCUGUUUUGUAAAUUGAAUAACUCCUUCGUCUGAACUCCGUUUGAUAUGAUUCUUCUUCCAGGAGCUUUGUAAUUGAGCUGAACAUAUUCUUCAGGUGGUUUCAUGCGUUUAGUCCUCGUGGUUGAGAAGAUACACUUCGAAAACUGAACACAUGUCCUGAUGCUUCCCAUGAUCAUAUCAUCUCAGCGCAAAACAAGAAGAUUGUUCCAAUUAAUUGCUCUUAAAGAGAUCAACCACGAUUCUGUUGUUAGCUUAUCUUGAUUUAAACACAUCCAUUUAAGAAAUUUUGUGCUUCUAUGAUUCUAUCUCCUUCUUUUAGCCAGUGAUGAUUUCUUCUUCCUAUAGACCUCUUCGUUACAAUAAGCCUUCUGUAGAUUCCUCUCUAUCUCCUUGAUUUUCUGAAAUUCUUGAGAUUGGCUUGCUAAUUCCUAUUCAACCGUUGUUUCAAUGUACGAAUCUCUUGUUCAGAGUUAGUUGUAUUGACCUAUUUCCAUUGUGAAAUGUACUUAAUAAUUACAGAGAACAUUUAUCAAUGAUCUAUUGACAAGAUAAUUUUGAAAUUUUGUUAACUAGACAAUAUCAUUCAUAUUUUUUGAAUGAAUGUUCAUUAUGAAUGGUUUUAUCACAUUUUAUUAGACAAUUUAAAAAGAUUCAGAAUAUUAUAAAAAAAAUAGUGGGAAAACUUAUAAAAUUGCUGAUAUAAUCGACAGUAUUUUAUAAACUUAAAUAUCUUAUUUAAGCAACAUCACGGUUGCCAAAAAGAAAAAAAGCAACAUCACGUUGAAUGCAACAUCAUUAUUAAAAUGUCCACACCACAAACAAACAUCAAACCCAAACGAAGAAAACAAAAACGUGCAUAUAAAUAUAUCAGUAACAUUCAUAGAGUUUAAUAUCCAUUUUGAGACGGAAAUACUUAUUUCCUUGAAUGAGAUCGGUCGAGAACGUAACAACCCCACGAGUCAUGAUAAAGUCACCAGUACCACCAACGAUCGAUAGGUCUCUGGUCGGCUCCAUCAUCGGAUUCGCAUCCAUAAUGGUCAAUGUUCCUUUGUGUUGCGUCGAGUUGAACACUAAUGUGCAAGCUACCCACGUGUUGUAAGUCGUUAUCUUGUUGUAGAAGAAGAAGCCUUGAGCUCUAGCCACUGCUUCCGAGAGGAAGUUCUCGUCCAUUGUGACAGGGUUGUCAAAGAUCACAAACUUUCCAAAAUUGAAGUCCCCUAGUCCUAAAGGGUUUACGAUUGUUGCUGAUGUGGCAUUAUCCGCGUUAUCGCUAUCGUAUGCAAUGUUAUGGAGAUGGAGGACAAAAUGUUUGCAUGGUUUUUUCAGGUCGAUUAAUGUUCGGACCGAUGAGACAGUAUCAGAGAGGAGUAAAACGAAUAGGAAAAAGGACAAUAGGGUAUUGAAUAUUUGUUUGGAGGUUUGAUUUGCCAUAGUUAUGGAGUUUAGUAGAAAUGAGUAGUGUUUUUUAUUUUGUGGAUAUGAGGAAGAGUGGUGAAGUCUUAUUUAUAGACAAUUUAUUUGUUUACUAGUUUUGUAUAAAGAUGGGACUCAGAGACGCAUAUAAUUGGUUUGUUGAUCAUCUCCCUAUCUAGGCGUAUUCAUUUGGAUGUGUUCAUUUGGAUCAGGUAAUAAUGGGUAAGAAUCCGGUUAGGUAAUUAGGGUUAAGAAGUCAAAUAAUUAGGUUAAAGUAAUCAUUUGAAAUGUACCUUUAAUAAUAACUACCCACAAGGGCACCCUUACAAAAACGGGUAAUUAGUAGGGGAGAGUCAGGUUAUACAUUUAUAUAUAGAUCAUGAUAUCCGAAUUUGAUCCAUAUAUGAUUUUUCUAUAUAACUUUUUAAGAAUAUCUGUAAUAUAUUAGUAUGAUAAAUUGAAGAAUACUUUAAAAUAUCACCAAAAAUAAGCUUUAUUUAUAAGAAUUGGAGCAUUGUUUUGAAUAUUUGUAAUAAAUAUGUUCUAAAAUGUUUAUAAAUACCAAAUAACUUUGAAAUUUAUAUAUGUUACAUUUAAUUUUAUUUUUUAUUAAAUACUUUAAAAUAAUUUAUUAUAAUAUGUUAAUGAUUUUUAUCUGUUUUUGUUCUUAGCAGAUCCGGAUAUCCUUCCAAUCCAGGAAAUCUUAUCCAUGCAUAUUCCUAAUGAAUAGAGCUAAGCCAAAAUCAGUAGAUCAUGUGGGGAAUCCGAUAAGUUAUCUUCCAUUCACCAACAAAGACUAAAGUGCUCUGCCAAGCAUGGAACAUGAGAAAGUAUCGGCUUUAUAAUACCACUCACUAAUAAAAAAAAAUAUUCAGAGGUAACACUUUUUGCACUUGAGUCGAUUUGGUUGGAUAUCAUAUUUUCAACGUGUACGUAGUGCUCGCUAAUCCCUUGUGUGUUUCUAGUUUCUACUAAUAGAGUGGUUAGCUAGUAGCUACACUAACUGAAACCAAGUUAUAGAUUCUAAAUAGUAGAGAAGAAGCCGAUUAUCCGAUAAUAACACCUUGGUAGGUUCGAAGAUGAUCGAGCCUAUACGCCGUUCCAUGACUUGCCGGUUCAACCCCACUGGUCCUUAACAGGACCGGUUUGCAGAAUCAUCAUAACUAUCCGUUAUUUUAGAGCAGGGAGUGAACAUUGUAUUUCUAAAGCUAUAUGGUGAGAACUCUCCGGACACGGAGAAGC